AGUUUGUACCAACUCUCUACUUUUCUUCCAUUCAAAUUCUUGAAAUUAUUGCUUCAUUACAAAUUAAACAUGCUGCCCUGAGAAAAUUGUUAAUUGUAAAUUCUAUCUCAUGCAGUACUGUAGAUUUCAUGCAUCUACUCGGUAGUAUAUAUAGAGCAUAGAGAAAUUAACCACUAACAUUACUUGUUCAUGUGCAAAUACUAACAGGACUUUAAAUUAAUUAAAGUCAUGUAUCAAAUCCAGGGGCCUACCGAAGUUGGCACAUGACAAGUGGAGUAUUUGUUUGACCAUAAUUUUUAUACUUACCAUGUCUGUCUAGAAAAGAGCUGUUCUUGCUGCCAAACCAAUAGUUGAGAAAGCUGUACGGGAAGUGUGCAUAGAUCUUCAUCCUCAAUUAAUGGUCAUUGCUGACCUUGGUUGCUCCUUCGGAGCAAACACACUUCUCUUCGUCUCUGAGGCGAUCACCACAAUAUGUGAGGACCAUAACAACACUAUCAAGGAGAGCCCCAUGGAGAUCCAGUUCUUCCUCAAUGAUCUACCUGGCAAUGACUUCAACCACAUCUUCCAAUCACUAGAGCAGUUCGAGCAGUCGACAAUACAUGAUUGCGCUUGCAAAGGGUUACAACCUCCCGCGCACUUUGUCGCAGGUCUGCCGGGUUCCUUCUACAGUAGACUCUUCCCUUCCAAUAGCGUCCAUCUCUUCCAUUCCUCAAUGAGCAUCAUGUGGCUCUCUCAGGUGAGGCUUGUUUAUAUAUGUCUCAUUGCAUAAGCUUAAAAUUAGGACACUAAGUUAUUGACCUUUGGAACUUUGAGCUCACUGGCAACGUUGGUUGUUUGGAUAGGUUCCUGAGCAUCUUGAUGGCAGCAUGAACGAGGGGAACAUUCACAUAGGAGCGACUACACCACCAUCGGUGGCAAAGCUCUACCAAAAUCAGUUUGAGAAGGACUUCUCACAGUUCCUCCAAAUGAGAUGCAUGGAGAUUGUGCCCGGAGGCCGGAUGGUCCUGACGGUUGCUGGGAGGAAGAACAAAGAUGUGUUCCAUGCAGGAGGGACAACCACCUUAUUCGAGUUGCUGUCACAGGGGCUACGCACUCUUGUUGCUGAGGUAUAAUGCACAUGACAAGAGUAUACCACAUUAUGGUUUAAACCAUAAUGAUAUUCUUUGAUAGAAAAAGUAAUUAUUCUCCUGGUUGACCUACUCCCAUAUUAGGAAAAAAACAUUAUAGAUACUUAUUCUAAAGUUUGAAUUGUAUUGUGGUACUUAUCAAAGAUUUAGUGAAAAUAGCUAGCAUCUUACUUAUUUUAGUACUUAUUCUAAAGUUUGAUUCAUGUUAAAAUAUUCUUGUGCAUGACACACGAGAAAUGCUUAAAAGUAUAAACAUAUAUAUGAGAAAUAAAAAUAUUUGUUGUUUCGAGUAAUGUUGACCAUUUAACAUUUGUUACUGUUGAUAGUUGUGUCUUCUACUACUGCUAGUACAAAUAGUACAAGAAUCAAUCUGAUCCUUCGGUUUGGAUUUUGGAAGGCUCUCAAUUCAUUGGAUAGUUAUACCAGUUGGUUUUACUAUACAAAUAGGAAUUUUUGCUUGUUACGGCUUUGGAACGUUUGACAGUGCAAAGGAAACGUGCAAAAAUAUGAACAUAUAUAUGUGUGCUAUAGAAAACAAAUAUAUAUUCAGAAGCUACCUAAUUAAAUGUUUAUGUUUGUCCAAACAGUAUAUAUUGGGCUUAAAUUAAAUACCUGUACAUUGCUUUUAGUUUGAAGGGCAAUAAAAACCAACAAUGUUAUAUAGUCAAACACUCAUACGUGGAAAACUAUUAUCUUAAUUCGUGUUUAAUUAAUCUGCAUUUGCAUAAAUAGGGUCGUGUUGCCAAGGAGAAGCUGGACUCUUUCAACAUACCAUUCUACUGCCCUUCAGCUGACGAGCUGAAGCAGCUGGUGCAGCAGUGCGAGCUACUUGACAUAAGUGACAUCCAACUCUUAGAGAUAGAUGGGAACGCCAUGGAUGACUCAGAGCAAGCAGAGGGCAUUUCAGCCACUCACACUGCGGGAGAGAGCAUGUCUGCAAGCCUAAGGGCGGCAAUGGAGUCCCUGAUUGCGAGCCAUUUUGGGGAGGGCAUACUUGAGGAGCUCUUCACGGUGUUUGCACGUAAUUUCACAAGUUAUAUUGAGAGUGAUGUUGAGAAGAGCGGCGUCACGGUCAUCACACUGUACUUGCAGGCAAAACACUAGCUAGCUAAUGGAACUAUACGAUUGUUGAUGCGAAAACACGAGGCUUGGGAGAUCUGCUUAACUCCAGUGCAGGUCCAAAAGCUUGCCUUUAGGUUCGUGAGUGUGCAGCUGAUUUGAUCCUGCAAUCAACAAGAAAUAAAGACAAAGAAACCGCGGUUAAAUCCAUAAACGAUAGCCGAUCGGCUAGUUGCCGAUAACAUAUCAUUUAUCUUUGAGCCGAUGUCAUAUGUAUAUCGAUCGGCAGUCAUGAACAAGUAAGAAAGAACUGAAUCUACUCGAUCGGCUGUAGAUAUUAAUAAUAUAUAAUCCUUAUGUCGAUAUAUACUUAAAUCAAGUGAUUGGGAUAGAACGGUCGCCAUGCCGAGACAGUAUAAAUCACUUAGAUCGAAAUAUAUAUUAAAUCAGGUAAGAUCGGCUAAAACCCCGAUGCUACACUAAUCGGCAACCAUAAAGCAGGCUAGAGAUAAGAUUCUAAUCAUGACUUAUAAGGUCAAACCCAAUUGAUGCAGCUAUAAGUAUGAAAAGAAGGACAAUAUCUAGACAAUCAAGCCGCUGGAUCUUUCAUAGAGUGGUGGAUAUCCUAUAUAAUCUAAGUCAACGUUGGUAUUUAACCUGAUCAACUGCCUUCUAGCGAUAGAUGUUAGCCGAUUGAUGGUUAAAUAACAAUAUUGCCUAAGAUUAUAUAAAAUAUAUGAUAACUCGACGAAUUACAUAAACAAGAUUAGAGUAUCAUAAAGAUGGAAGCACUAAUCCCGAGAACGCAAGCCGCCAUAACAUCUUUUACCUCUAGUUGAAGAUCGAAACCGAUGCAGCUCAACCCGAAAGCAAGAACUCGUCGAAACAAAACGAAAGUAAAAGGGUGGCGAUGCGCCGAGAUUGUAUUGAACGUGUGUUGUUGUAUUACAUGGGGCUCGGGGUCUAUUUAUACCCGAGAUUACAAAGUAUGUCCGUGUUGGACACGACUCUUAUCUCUAACAAACUCUAAGAUACCAUAAGUCUUUGCGGUAGACUUUUGCCCAAACAUAUCUAUAAGGGAAUUACAUAAAAUAUCCUAAUUAAUAGAUACAAUUGCCUUUCCAGGACCCAAUCCGUGUGUGGCAAUCCAUAUGAAGCACAUUAACACAACCCGACAACGUAUACCGAGUCGUAUUGUCGGAAUCGGCUCAAUCGGCUAACCUUGUCUGACUCAAACUCUACUGAUUAAGAUCAUAGAAGAUUCGGACUUAGCCGAUUCUUACUAUGUUUCUGAAACGAUCUUGAUCUUGGAUUCUGCUUCGAUCUUAUCUUCAUCUCUGACACUUGGAUUACCAAAUUUGGUUGUUAACACAUUCCCCCCAAGUCCGGAAUAUAUGAUAUUGUUUCGGAUUUGCGAUAUUUCAUCUCCGAGAAAAUAUCGCACUUGCCGUUUUUCCGACCGUUAUCACUCUGCUUUAAAUACUAACCGUUGUCCCCGAGAAACUUCACACUGUUACUUCCGUUUUCACCGCUUAAGCCAAACUCAUCUUCCCUCUCUCCGGCGAUUCCCUCGGUGCGCAAGGCGAUUUCAAGGCGAUCUCCUCCCCGGCCAAGUUUCCGCCCGCGGCGAUGUCGACUUCCGCCAGCCCGUCUACCACGCCAUCGGCUGAGUACGCAGAAGUAAGUGCUCAUCGGCUAGAUCCCAUCUUUUCGCAAUAGAUUGGUUUUUCCUUGCCUCAUCUUGUUUUCUUCUUCUCUAUUCUUAUUCACAUCUGUAGCACUUGUCCGAUCUGGUUGCGACUCCGAGUUUGUCACAUGAGCGUCACUAUUUUCUUGGUCCGAUCGGCAAUCUUGAUCCCACUGAGUUCAUCUCCGCCGAAACCAAUAGGAUCCCUUUUAGAUUAGCCAAUCAGAAUCUAGGUCACUGGAAAAACACCUUCAAGUCUUGGCCUUCUCUUGAGAAAACUGCCCCUGAGAAAAGCUGGGCUGUGUGGUAUAAGCGUAUAUCGGCUAGCAAGCAGGUUCACUAGGAUGAAAUCGGAAUCGGCCAGGCACUCGCCCUCACUAUAGCAAAUUCAGCUAAGGAUGAACCCCUGAUGGCUGCCGCGACCUACUUUUGGUCCAACACCAUCAACGCUUUCUUAUUCAACCAAGGGCCGAUGACCCCCACUUUGCUUGACAUUACUAUGAUCACCGAUUUGGAUGUGACCUCAUCGGCUAACCCCAUGAGUUUGAACACCAAGAACCAGUUUGACUUCAGAACUAAGAGCAAGAGGCUGGUCUGGUUAUGUAGCAGCAUAUAUGGGCAAAGGACCUGUAACUUCCCGAUAACAUGUGGCCCUCCUGCUGAUAUGGCUUGAGAAAUUCCUUUUUUAUGGAUCAAGUUGUGGCCCUACCACCAACUGGUAGUUCUUAGCCGAAGCCCUUGAUACAAAGAAGCAAUUCCCUUUGGGCAAAAUCCUUCUUGGCUAUUUGUAUCAAAUGUUGAACAACGCAUCGGCUAAGAUUGCUGUCGGCUCAGUCGUUAACGCAGGCGGGCCAUGGUGGUUGCUGCAAACUUGGCUAAACUUGGUAGCCAUGAAAGCUGUCAAUCGGCCAGCCGUAACAGAAGCUGAAUUUCCAAGAUUAGAGCCGAUCACAGAUGAUGAUGGAGAAGAGCGCACCCACCGCAGGUGUAUGUCCUAUGGGGAAUAUGCAUCCACACCAGCCGAUGCUGGAGCAAAGUUAUCGGCUGAAUUACUCAAGGAUUGGUUCUGUAGCUUUUAUGAAGGCUUCCAGAAAGAUGCUCGGGUUUGGUUCCCAUAUGAAGAUUCAGUCAAUUUGGAUCUCCCAGCAGACUUCAGAUUUGAAGAUAUCAACCAUGAGAGAUAUCAAAAGUCCAGAGAAGUCUUUGCUGCUGCUAUUAGCCCAUGCAUCCUCCCUGUCAGCAUACAUCAAGGAAGAAAUAUUCAAGUCUCCUAUGAGUUUUAUCAUCCGAUGAGCUCAGCUAGGCAAUUUGGAAUGGGACAGCUACCAAUCGGCUUGUUCUUUGCCGAUAAAAUCCAAUGCCGAGGAGACAUUUCAUCAACCCUGAUGAUGGAUCGGCUACUCAACAUCCCAGGACCUCCUUUGGCCAGCAUUGAUAACAUAGAGUUGGCCAGGUUUUGGAGCAAAAACUUUGACAGAUGGUGGGGAGAAUGGAAGCAACACAUAUUCCAUCAGUCAGCCUCCAUGUGCAUGAUAGACUUGUUCCCAGAUGUCAUUCCUCAGGUAUACCUCUGCUCUUAUCAAUCUUAUUUAAACAACUAUUAGCCGACUUGAAUCUUGAUUAACUUUUCUCUUUACCUUGCAGACAACAGAAUCUUCUCCUCCCCGCAAGAGCAACAGUGGCAGGGAUAUAGAGUAUGCUCCAGGCCAUUUGCCAAACGGUGGUGGAUUGACCCCUCCAGUCAUUGGCUAUCAUGCCCCCAAGACUUCAAGUCUGCUUCAAGGGCAGAUGAGAGAACCAGCCGAUGUCGGCAGGAAGAGAAAGACCAAGGCAUCGGUUAUAGAUCCAUCGGCUCUGGCUCCCAAAAAGAAGAUCAAGAAGAAUAAGCCUAAGCCAGCCGAUGACUUGCCUGCCUUAGAUCCAUCCAUCGGGCAAGCCUUGGAUGAGGAAGAGAUUGAAGAGGAUGUUGAUCAAGCUGCAGCCGAAGUAAGUGAUACAAAAAAAACUCCAUCGGCUUCACCUAAGUGAACUCCUCCAACUCCUUCUGCUCCAGCUCAUUUUUCAAGGGUAAAUCACUUAUAUUAAUUUCCCCUUGCAAUCAUUUUAUUCAUAGCCGAUUACUUAUAAAUCUCGUUUUUGCAGAAAAAGAAGACUGCUGUGAGGAAGAAAUCGGCAGCAACAACACUUAAACCAGCUACACCAGUAAGAUUGUCGUAUAUAAAUCCUCUCACUUAUCUAAUCACAGCUGAUAUUUACAUAACACUUUGUUUUUUUGCAGCCUCCUCGUCCUCCUUCACCACCUGUGCAAUAGAUGUCAAGUGACCGUACCCCAUCGGCUACAGGAAGCCACUAUGUUGAAGAAGAGGAACAACCAGCCACUCCUGCCAUCCCAAUAAGUCCUUCAUUGACAUAAGAACCUAGAUCGGCUGAAACUGUUUGAUAUUUGACUAUCUUCGAAUUUCUCUGUUGCAGGCCUUAGCCGAUCUGUUUUCUUUUGAUAUCAAGGAUUAUUUUGAUGAAGAAGCAGAAGAAGAAUCCACAAGCAAGGCUCUAGCCCCUUUGGAUGAAACCAUCAAGAGAACACUUGAGGAUAUAUCCCUUUGGCUAGGGUCAUCAUUAGACAGCUUGGUGGCUGAUUGUGGUUCAAUCCGGGCACGAUUUGCUGAAAUCCAAGCCUUCAUCCUAGAUGAUCUGGCGAACAUCAUUACUCCAGCUGUAUACCUCGAGCAACAUCAAUUCAAGCUGGAGAAGGCUAAGUAACGGAUAGCCGAUUGGCGGGAGUGGAAAGACAUUGAAGCUACCAUCCAAGCCAAUCGGCAACUCGUGCAUGAAGAGAAAGCCAAGCUCGAUCAACUCUCUGUUGGGCCGAUUCAGUCGAACAUAGAUCGGCUUGAAGCCCGCAAGAUUGAUCUUAUAGCUUAACUCGAAGAAUGCAAUGCCGAGUUGGAUCUUGAAAAGCAAAAGCUAGCCGAUCUUCCAAGUGUUGUUGAAGAACAUAAGUCUAGGCUGAAAUUGGCCAUUAGAAAUGUUGCCGAUAUGACUAAGUCCUUAAAAGUCAUCCCUGGAACUGAUGCACAAGAUACCCAGGCAAUCGAAGAAGUAGAACAAAUCAGACACCGGGCUGUAUCAGCUAUCCAGCAAUAUCUAUCUCAGUGACCUUCUAUGUAAUAGGACUUAGACUUUAUAGCUUCUUUUUGUAAUCGGCUAUGAAACCUUGAUUCUCCUUUUGUCAUUGAACUGAUGUGCCGAUUAAUAUAACUUCUCAAUUUGCUAAAAAUUUUUGCAAAUUUGCAACUUGUGUAUAUAUGUGCCCCCCUAAUUUUGCAAUGACGAAGACAUUAAUAAAAUUAUAAUCUGGACUAAGGGCGAUAUAACCAUAUCGGCCAUUGUACAUCGGCAAAACACAACCGAUUACAAUAAGAAAACAACUAAGGGCGAUAUAACCAUAUCGACCAUUGUACAUCAGCAAAACACAACCGAUUACAACAUAAAAACAACUAAGGGCGAUAUAACCAUAUCGGCCAUCUCAAGGCGAUGUGAACACACCGGCUGUCAUGUAUCGGCAACACCAGCCGAUCAUGCAUUAACCCAAACACUUGGGUAAUACUUCUUCAAGUAUUUGCCAUUGAGCGCUCAUCCAUAGACUUCUCCAUCAAGUCCUUGCAACAUAUACGCCCCUUUGGAUACAACCUUAUGAAUUUGAAGCGGCCCUUCCCAAUUCGGUGACCACUUGCCGAACUUGUUAUCUUGAGUUCCGAUCGGCAAAAUCAAUUUCCAAACAAGUUCACCCUCAGCAAAAGUUUUGGGCACCACUUUUUUGUUGUAAUGUCGAGCAAUUCUCUCCUUAUCCAUAGUAACUUUUGCAAGGGCUCUCAAUCUUGAUUGAACCAAGUCCUUUCAUCGGCCAUGAGAUUAUAAUACUCAUCGGCUGUCAACUCAUUUUGCAACUCCGUCCUUCUUGAGCUGAUUCUAACUUCCCAUGGUAAAACAGCCUCAUGCCCAUAAACAAGCUUAUAAGGAGGAACUUGGAUCGAAUCAUGACAAGCCAUCCGAUAAGACCACAAUGCUUCGGCCAAUCUAGUAUGCCACUGCCGAGGAUAAUCGGAAAUUUUUCUCUUAAUCAAUUUGAUCAAACUCUUAUUAGAUGCCUCGGCCUGCCCAUUGGCUUGUGCAUAAUACGGCGAAGAAUUCAACAAUUUGAUACACAUGCUAUCGGCAAACUGAACAAAUUCAUCGGACACAAAGAUCGAGCCUUGAUCAGUUGAAAUGGUUUGAGGAAUACCAAAUCGAUAAAUAAUAUGCUCCUGGACAAAUUGUAUAGCAUCUCCCGAAUCAACUUUCUUCAAAGGAAUCGCCUCUACCCACUUGGUAAAGUAAUCGGUUGCCACCAAUAUAAACUUGUGUCCUUUGCUUGAUGGUGGAUUAAUCAUACCGAUCAUAUCAAUUCCCCAACCUCUGAACGACCAUGGCUUGAUGAUAGGAUUCAUAGCUGAUGCGGGUGCUCUUUGAAUUGCUCCAAACUUUUGACAAUCUUGACAUCCUUUGUAAUAUUUAAAACAAUCUUCCAACAUUGUCGGCCAAAAAUAUCAUGCCCGCCGAAGCAACCACUUCAUCUUAUGAGACGAUUGAUGAGUUCCACAAAUUCCUUCGUGUACCUCGCCUAUCGCAACCUUAGCUUGAUCGGCACUCAAACAUUUAGGCAAUACCCCAUCAAUUGUCUGAUAAUAUAGCUCAUCAUCCAACAAGGAAUACUUCAAAGCCUUAUAGUGCAAUUUCCGAGAAGCCGUUGAGAUGGAUUUUGCAAAUAAUGAUGCACAUCAUACCUCCAAUCAUCGGCUGUUAUUGUGGCGACUUCUACUUUGACAUCCUUCAUCAUCGGCUUAUAUCCCGAUACCCCUUGGGCCAAAUCAUUAGCUUGAACAUUAUGUUCUCGAGAUACAUGCUUCAAAGUCACCAGCCGAAAUUCUUUCAUCAACUCUCGGCACUUCUCAUUGUAAACCACUAAUGUAUAAUUUUUGCACUCAUAUUCUCCUGCCAAUUAACUGAUCACUAGCAAGGAAUCACCCAUGAUUUUAACAGCAUCGGCUUCAACCUCCUUGAGCAAUUGCAACCCCUUGAGAACCGCUUCAUAUUCAGCCUAAUUAUUAGUUUCAUAGGGCUUGAUAGUAUAGGCAAACUCAAUACUUGCCCCUCGAGGAGAAAUUAUAACCAAGCCGAUACCACACCCAUGAGUGCACACCGAUCCAUCAAAAAACAAAGUCCAAGGCACAAUUUCGACCGAGCCGAUUGAGUCAUCACGAUGAUCAACAAUAAAAUCGGCUAUAGCUUGCCCCUUAAUCGCCUUUGGUGACUCAUACCGAAGAUCAAAUUCCGUCAAAGCAAAUAUCCACUUUCCAACCCUUCCUUUCAAAAUCGGAGCUGAUAGCAUAUACUUAACCACAUCGGCUUUACAUAUCACAGUGCAUUCAUUGGACAAUAGAUAAUGCCGUAACUUUGUACAAGAAAAAUAUAAGCAUAUGCACAACUUUUCCACAGGAGAAUACCUCAUCUCUGCAUCCAAAAGCCGACGACUCAAAUAGAACACAACUCUUUCUUUCCCCUCAAGCUCCUGAAUCAAGACCGAGCCAAUUGACUUCUCACCGGCCGAUAAAUAUAAUCUAAAAGGUAUUCCCCUUUGGGGAGGGAUUAAAACUGGAGGAGAACUAAGAUAUUCUUUAAUAUUAUCCAAAGCCUCCUGCUACUCUGCCCCCCAAGUAAAUUUUUGAUCGGCUUUCAGUCUCAACAAUGGUGUAAAAGGUUCUAAUCUACCAGACAAAUUAGAGAUAAACCUUCUAACAAAAUUUAUCUUGCCAAUCAUCUACUGCAACUUUGUAUUGUUCUCUGGAGGUUGAAUCUUUUUUAUCGCAUUAACACUCCUCUGAGUUAUCUCAAUUCCCCUUUCAUGAACAAGAAAUCCUAAAAACUAACCAGCCGAUACACCAAAACCACACUUUGUCGGAUUCAUCUUCAGGCCAUACUUCCUAGUUCUCUCAAAAACCUUCCUCAAAUCGGCUAUGUGGUCCUCUAUUUCCUUUGACUUAACAACCACAUCAUCAAUAUAAACUUCAACCAACCAGCCGAUUAGAUUAUGGUAUAUGUAGUUCAUAGCCCGUUGAUAUGUAGCUCCAGCACUUUUCAAGCCAAAAGUCAUCACAACCCACUCAAACAAGCCGAUUGCACUAGGAUAUCUAAAAGUUGUCUUAUGAAUGUCCUCCUCCGCCAUAAAAAUCUGAUUGUAACCAGCAUUACCAUCCAUAAAAUUCAAUAUCUUAUGACCUGAAGCAGCAUCGACUAAUUGAUCGGCAACCGGCAUUGGGUACUCAUCCUUGGGAGUAGCCUUGUUUAAGUCUCGGAAAUCAAUACACACCCUGACUUUGCCAUUUUUCUUAAUAACUGGAACUAUAUUGGAAACCCACUCUGCAUAUCGGCAUGGACGAAUAAAACCAACAUCAUAUAAACGUUUAACCUCAGCCUUGACAGCUUCAAGCAUAUCGGCUUUGCAUCUCCUUGGUGGUUGCUGAUAUGGUCUAACCCCCGGCUUGAUAGGGAGCCGAUGUUCAACAAUCAAUUGGCUGAGUCCUGGCAUCUUGUAAUAUUCCCAAGCAAAGCAAUCUCUGUAUUCUUUUAAGAGCUCUAUCAACUUGGUUCUGAAUUCCGGAGAUAAAUUUUUACUAAUAAAUGUCGGUCUUGGCCUAUCACCUGGACCUAUAUCAACUUUCUUCCUGAAAGGAACUUGAUGUCGCCUAGAGGGGGGGUGAAUAGGUGUUCCUAAAAAAUUAUCACAACUUCAUAGCAUAUUAGAGAUUAGAGAACUUUUGGUUCAAAUCGGAACUUCCGGUAUGGGAUAAGAACUUCCGGUCUCAACCGAAAAGUUCGGCGGGUAACGGAAUAAAACACUAGCUAUGAACUUGUUGCACGAAUAAACAAAAUGUAUACGAAUCAAAAGGUGACAAAUAAGGUAUCUAAGCAAGAUAUAAGGUCACCAACUAUAUUAAUUAAGCAUGCAAGUAGAUCGGGCCAAAACAAACUCAAGCACAAUAUGAGAGAUGGCAAGAAUGAGCAAACCAAGAGAAGAGACACGUUGAUUUGUUUUCCGAAGUUCGGAUCCAUGGAUCCUACGUCUCAGUUGAGAGGCCACAAGGCCGGGUCUAUUUCAACCCUUUCUUCACGAGGUUGCACAAAUGCACUCCUCGGUUUCACUCUUGAUUUCUUCCCUUGCGGAGGCGAAAUCGAAGCCUUCACAAACUUUCCGUGGCACACCACAACCUUGGGUGCUCACCGGCGACGCCUAGCCGUCUAGGAGACCUUAGUCUCCAAGAGUAACAAACACAAUCGAAGAUUUGCUUGCUAUGAACUCGAGUACUCAAAGUAUGGAGUGAGGCUCACUAGCUCUCAACUUCUCAAUCUCUCAAUCCAACUCUCUCCCCUUCUCAAAUCCCUCUCACAAAGAGGCACCACAAAGGUAGGGAAAUGGGGAUGGCUAUUUGGCUUUGGAUGUGUCUAAUACUCACCAUGAACAGCAGCCCCUCAAAGGAGGGGUGGAGGAGUUUAUAUACCCGAGCCUCUCAAAAACUAGCCGUUGGAGGCAAAGACAGGAAUUUUUGGAACAUCCGAAAAGAUUUUCGGAACUUCCAAAAAGCACAGAGUAAAACGACCAUAACUUUUUGCUCGGGAGUCCGUUUUUGAUGAUCUUGGACUCUACGGAAAGCUCACUUAGAAGACUACCCAACUCAACCAAGAACACGGUCUAAAACCACUCAAAGGAUAGGGUAAAGCUUAGGUUUCUCUCAAGGUAGCACUAUGAUAGGUCACUUUCAGCACCGAGACAUACACAAACACCUCGACGUUGCAUCCCUCUUAAUAGUACGUCAUUCCUAAACUCAAAUAUAAAUAGGAAGAGAAUUAUACCAAUAGGAAUGCCUUCUUUCCAUCUUUCUUUCAUUGUCUUAAGGGACACCAAUACCGAUACCUUUUCACCAUAUAUUUUUCAAAUGAUUGAUGCGGUUACUUGUAGCUUCAAAUGGUCUCGCACGAUCCAUCAUGACAAAGCCGUCACUCGCCCUUCACCACCGGAUUUGGUUCUUUGGCGCCAAGCCCCUUGCUUGCCCUUCACCACCGCAUAGUCCAUCGCGACCGAGCAUCGCUUGCCCUUCACUGUCUUGCCAUAGUAGCCACUUCGUAUCCCACCUCUUCAAUAUCUUUACUUUGUCAUUCUUGGUAUCGUUACGUGUAAUGAUAUCACUUGAACAUCAACACCUUUGUAAUCCUUGGGACCUAUUUCUUUUAUUCAACUCAAUAAAAUUAUUAGUCCCAAUGAUCCGGUUGUCAACCUCCACACGUUGACCAACCGAUCGCAUGUAUAAAAGGAUAUGAAUAAAUGAUGAGUAUUAAUCAACACCACAAGUGUCAUAUACUCAAACAUAUGCUCAAAUGUAAAGAUCUCAAUUAAAUGAAAAUGAAUAACUUGGAUCAAUUACAUGCAUAACUAAAGUAUAUGAUUUCCUCCCCUUAAAUAUAUGCAUACAAACUGUUUGUGUGACAAGAGUAUGCAUAGUAAGAUAUGAAACAUUGAGAGCUUAUCCUAUACAAGAAUAGAAGGCAUUUAUCAAAUAUAGGUAUUAAAAUAAAAACAUACCUUCACCAUCUCCAUGUUCUCAAUGUAAAGAGACUAAAUAAGAUAUGGUUCAAACAAAAUAUUAGUCUCACAUGCAUAUGUCAAUGACGUGGAAUUAUUAUAUAUGAACAUAUCAAUAUGUACAUGGAGAGAAAGAGUGAUACAUAUAGCUUGAUCUCCAUGCAUUUCAUCUUUGUGAUUUAGUUCCACCAUCAAUGAAUGUUUCUAUCUCAACUCAUAUGAAGUCCGGGAAUCACCUCUCACACACUCCACUUUCAUAUCCACAUGAGACUAGGCAAAGAAAUGCUUAUAAAAACAUUAGUCUGAUAUAAUUGGAUUUGUCAUUAAUCACCAAAACCAAAUUAAUGGCACUUGAACUUUCAAUCUCCCCCUUUUUGAUGAUUGAUGACAAAUCCAUUAAAAAUGAUCACAUUUGGAUAUGAAGGGUGAAAUCAAUGAUAUAAAUCAACAUGAUAUGAGAAAUUGACAAUUGAUUUAUAUCCAUGCAUGUGAUGCUUGUGCAUAUGGUGCAUAUUGGAUGCUAUGAUAGAUGAUGGUAUGCUUCUUUUCACGACAUGCACCAAAUGAAUGUGGGAUCCUAGAAUAUUUUCCCUUUGUAUAUCAACGAUCAUAUCAAAUGUAGGAUCCUCAAAUAUUCCCCCCUUUUGGCAUUAAUCACAAAAAGAUUUGCAUGGAACCGAAGAGAAACAAUUUUGCUCAAGCAAAACAAGAACAAACAUUCACAAGACCAAAAAAAAAAGAUGAAAGCUCAAAGCAAAAAUUUGAGAAACGGUCCAUUUAAGAAAUGCUCCCCCUUACACUCGGAGUCUUGUUACUUAGACAAGAAGAAUUAGAAUGGAUUUUAUUUCUAGGAGGGAGUGAUUAUGAGCACUUGAACUUUCUCUCGAAAUAUACUCAUCAAUUAUUUUCUCUAUGAGAGGAGUUUGGUCAAAGAUACUUGAGAGAUUUUUGGUCAAGUGAGUACUCUCGGCAAUGGAAUGACUAAGAUUGGCAAAUACCGAGUGCAAGAUGAUCAAAGGAUACUACCAUUUUAUAUGGACACUACUUGUGUAUGCAAGUGUAAAUUUGGAAUCAAGAAAUGGUAGUUGGCUUUGGUAGCAAGGAUCAACUUGUAUUUGGUGGCAAAGAUUGGAAUUUGGAGUCUACCCAUGGAGGCUUGGUUUUGAGAAGUGCAAAAAUGACUUUUGAGUUUCGGUGGAAUCAUAUAUCAUUGGCAUUUCAUAAACCAUAAGAGUUCAAGCAAGGAACACAUCCAAAAGAGUUCAAGAAUACAAUAAGUUUUAGAAACAACAAAGAACUAUUACUUGAAACUUUUUAUACAACCACAAUGCUCAAAUUUUCAACAAGACAUAUGCACUUUCAAGAUUAAUGUUCAGCUGCAUAUGACAUAGCGAAGAUGAUUUUUUACGAAGAGGAAAAACUUGUGAGAAUGAGCUCUGUGGAGAUUAUGGAUAUCCCAUAUCUACACGGCGAUGAUAUUUGGACUGAAUAUAGGAUACCGAAUAUAGAUAGAAUAUCUUAUUUGUAUCCUGGGUUUGUUUCUCAACUUGUACAUCAAGGAAAUACCUUGACACUUAGUCGGUUACGACUGUAUUUUAUCUGUAUCUGCGUAUUCCGUUAGGGAUAUAGAUUAUCUUUUGUAACACGGACUCCUUCCCAUAUAUAAGGGGGGUCCAGGUACCUCUAGGGGCAUAUGUUGAUUUUCUCCAAAUCAUACAAUCAAUAAGACACUCGGCGGAUUCAUCCCCGGACAGGAGUAGGGUAUUACUUCUUCAAUAAGAAGGCCUGAACCUGUAUAAAUCCUUUGUCUCCAAACCCAUACACUUUUCCAGCUUGAUAGCCACCCCCUUUUAUUAUUGCCGAAAUCUAGUUUCGACAGUUGGCGCGCCAGGUAGGGGUAGCGUCAAGCUUUUCGCCGAUCAGUGCAAUGGGUUCCAUCUCCGGCAUCGACGACCUCGUCUUCCCACCCGGGCAGACGUUUCGGUUCGGCAGCCUCGACUUCGUCACCAACAACUUCGGCAAGAUCUCUCUCCUUGACUCGGUGUCAGACCAGUCGGGAGAGAACCGGAUUUCAGUCCCGUUUGGACUCCCAAACACGGCUGAAAGUUACUUCAAGACCAUCUCAAUCGAGUUGGCAUCAAACCACUCGGGUGAGAUCGCAUCUUCUCCAACGUCACCAGAUCAAGAUGAUGGGGCUUACCCACCGAUCAUGAUGAAGCUCCCCGACGAUUUGGCGGCCAUCUCCAUCACGACAGCGUCUCCAUCCCGUAGGCCUAGGCGGAAGUCAGCUUCAACACCGAUUUCGCCUAGCUUCAGGGAAGUCGGCGUCAUCCUCCAACCACUCGGCACGGUUUCGACGGAUCAGCUGGAUGGCUACUACAGCUCUCCCACCGUCGACUCGCGCCCCACCGACAUCGUGGAGUACGACGAGUUUUGCUCUCGCUACAACGACCCGGAUCUCGACGACUUCGACGAAAGCCUAGAUGACAACUACACCCCUCUCUACUUCGGCGUCUUCAUGGCCGAUAACGAGACGGAGGAGCAACGCCAAGCCCGGGAGACCGAAGCACGUCGCGAGACUGAGCGUCGCCGACUGGAGGAGGAGCGUCAAGCACAAGAGCAAGAACGGUUACGGCGUGAGCAACAGGAGCGUGAGCGGACCGCGAAGGAGGCUGAGGAUCGACGGCAGCGAGCUUUGGAAGCAGGGCGCCGAGCGCGUGAUCUCAUCGGCCAACAAGAUGUUGAAGGGACACCGGUUUUUCGCACCCCUCAACAGAAUGCGGUUGCCGCGAUCACCCUCCUCGACACCCUCCUCAAGGAAAACGAGCUUAAUCAAUCUGAUCACGUCAUCAAUAUCUUGAACCAGACGAAGACCAUGAUUGCGGCUUCGGUCCCAGUUAACUCCGAAAGCGUCCACACGCCGACUGGCAGCCGAGUCCCUCACUUCCGAUCUCAUGACUACCGUCAUCCGAGCCUCAGCAUCACCGGCGCAGGAUCUAAUCGCAGGAGCAGGGGUCACGACGAGCGGUCCGUUCACUCACCUCCCGACUAUCAUAGGGAGCGCCGAGUGGAACGGCCUCGCUCACCACCUCGUCGCCGCCCCGUCGAUCUUCGCGACACAAUCAUACAGCGCCGAGCAGCUCGAGGUCAUCAUCAUUCGCCGGACCGCCACGACGACGACCUUGACGGAGUAGCAGCCUUCACCGACAACCUGCGUCGAGUGGAUUGGCCAGCCGGCUUCAAGCCGACUGGAAUAGAGAAGUACGACGGUACCACUAACCCAGAAUCGUGGCUUACCGUCUACGGUCUCGCAAUCCGCGCAGCAGGAGGAGACAGCAAGGCCAUGGCGAACUAUUUACCAGUGGCUUUAGUGGAUUCCGCCCGAUCUUGGCUCCAUGGAUUGCCCCGUGGUACAAUUGGAUCUUGGGCUGAAUUACGCGACCACUUCAUCGCCAACUUCCAAGGCACCUUCGAGCGUCCCGGCACGCAAUACGACCUCUACAACGUUGUCCAGAAGUCCGGAGAAUCCCUUCGAGAUUAUAUCCGGCGAUUUUCUGAACAACGUAACAAGAUUUCUGACAUCACCGACGACGUCAUCAUCGCUGCAUUCACCAAAGGGAUUCGCCACGAAGAAUUGGUCGGCAAGUUCGGGCGUAAGCCUCCCAGGACAGUCAAGCUUAUGUUUGAAAAAGCCAACGAGUACGCCAAAGCUGAAGACGCCGUCACCGCAUCAAAGCAGUCGGGUCCCAGUUGGAAGCCAAAAAAGGAUACGCCGGCUUCGGGAGGAGGUGGAAGUAACAAUCAUUAGGACCGCAAGCGUAAGCCUGCGGAACUUGUUGCAACCGCCAGUCACUCUUCUCGACAACGUUCGCGCGUCAACACGUUCGACAAGAUCAUGAACUCCCAAUGCCCGCACCAUCCUAACUCCAACCACGUGGCCAAAGAUUGUUUCGUCUACAAGCAAUUCGCGGAGCAAUACACCAAGAUUACACGGAAGAGCUCUGACGAAGAACAAAGCACGUCAAGGAAGAAGGACGACGGCGACCCCCCGGCAGGAUUUCAAGACCACCGCAAGGAGCUCAACCAUAUCUUCGGCGGCCCCUUGGCUUACGAGUCUAAAAGGAAGCAAAAGUUGACCGAACGGGAGAUCAAUGCUGUUCAGCCCGACACGCCCCAAUACCUUCGAUGGUCAGAGAUUGCAAUCAAGUUUGACCGCUCGGAUCAUCCUGACCGAGUGGUCCACCCGGGGCGGUAUCCCCUGGUACUAGACCCAGUGGUCCGUAAUGUCAAACUUCGCAGAACCCUCAUCGACGGCGGCAGUGCACUCAAUAUCCUCUUCGCCAAGACCUUGGAUGAUAUGCAGAUUCCUCGCUCCGAGCUAAAACCAAGCAAUGUGCCUUUUCACGGAGUAAUUCCAGGAUUAUCCGCAACUCCACUCGGCCAGAUCACCCUCCCGGUCACUUUUGGCACUCGGGAAAACUUCCGCACAGAGAAUAUCAGCUUUGAAGUCGCCGAUUUCGAGACAGCAUACCAUGCCAUACUCGGACGCCCGGUGUUAGCCAAGUUUAUGGCCGUCCCGCACUACACUUACAUGAUGAUGAAGAUGCCUGGUCCCCGAGGAGUCCUAUCCCUACGGAGCGACAUCAAGCAAGCCGUCACAUGCGACAAGGAGAGUUGCGACAUGGCCCAAACCCGCGAGAUGGCGUCUGCUCGAGAGGAUAUCCGACUGGCUGCAGCCACGGCGAGCGAAGGAGAAGUGCCCGCUACCAAGAUCUCAAAAAGUGGAGAAAGCGAAGCCAAGACUAAAAAGAUUCCCCUAGAUCCUUCUGAUUCUACUAAAACUGCUGUAAUAGGCGCCGAGUUAGAUUGUAAAUAGGAAAGCGCGCUCAUCACCUUUCUUCAGAACAAUAAAGAUAUCUUUGCAUGGAAACCAUCUGAUAUGCCCGGUAUUCCUAGAGAGGUGAUUGAGCACUCCUUACAUGUCAAAGAAGAUGCCAAGCCUAUCAAACAACGACUCCGCCGAUUCGCACAAGACAGGAAAGACGCGAUCAAGGAGGAAUUAACUAAGCUGUUAGCGGCAGGCUUCAUUAAAGAAGUCCUUCAUCCCGACUGGCUGGCAAACCCAGUUCUAGUUCGGAAGAAAACGGGGCAAUGGCGCAUGUGUGUUGAUUAUACUGACCUCAACAAAUGUUGCCCUAAAGAUCCUUUUGGGUUACCUCGCAUUGACCAGGUAGUCGACUCGACCGCCGGCUGUGAGCUUCUCAGUUUUUUGGAUUGCUACUCGGGGUAUCAUCAGAUCCGACUGAAGGAAUCUGACUGCUUGAAGACUUCAUUCAUCACGCCCUUUGGAGCAUAUUGCUACGUCACCAUGCCGUUCGGACUAAAAAACGCAGGAGCAACUUAUCAACGUAUGAUCCAGAGAUGCUUCUCAACGCAGAUCGGCCGUAACGUUGAAGCCUAUGUGGAUGAUGUAGUCGUCAAGACCAAGCAAAAGGAUGAUUUGGUCUCGGAUCUAGAAGAAACCUUUGCGAGCAUCCGCGCUUUCAGGAUGAAAUUAAACCCUGAAAAGUGCACCUUCGGAGUACCGUCAGGGAAGCUGCUUGGUUUUAUGGUGUCUCAUAGGGGCAUCCAAGCCAACCCGGAGAAAGUUACUGCUAUCCUCAACAUGAAACCGCCAAGUAACCAGAAAGAUGUUCAGAAGCUGACUGGAUGCAUGGCGGCGCUCAGCCGAUUCGUUUCAAGACUUGGCGAGCGGGGGAUGCCCUUCUUUAAGCUACUGAAGAAAACAGAUGAUUUCCAGUGGGGACCCGAAGCACAGAAGGCCUUCGAAGAUUUCAAGAAACUCCUCACCGAGCCACCAGUCUUAGCUUCACCACAUCCGCAGGAGCCGUUGUUGCUGUAUGUAUCAGCCACCUCCCAGGUUGUGAGCACAGUCUUGGUCGUUGAGCGCGAGGAAGAAGGCCAUGUCCAGAAAGUCCAGCGACCGAUUUACUUUGUCAGCGAGGUCCUAGCCGACUCCAAAACGAGGUACCCCCAGGUUCAGAAGCUGUUAUAUGGUAUUCUAAUUACUACCAGGAAGCUAUCUCACUACUUUCAAGGUCACUCGGUGACGGUGGUCACAUCAUUUCCACUCGGUGAUAUACUGCACAACCGCGAAGCAAACGGACGGAUUGCUAAGUGGGCCUUGGAGUUGAUGUCUUUGGACAUAUCAUUCAAGCCCCGAAUUUCAAUCAAGUCCCAAGCGUUAGCUGAUUUUGUCGCCGAAUGGACCGAGUGCCAGGAGGAUACCCCCGCGGAGAAGAUGGAGCACUGGACCAUGCACUUUGACGGGUCAAAAAGACUUUCGGGCACUGGAGCAGGAGUAGUUCUAAUUUCCCCAACUGGAGAAAGAUUAAGCUAUGUGCUUUGGAUACAUUUUUCGGCGUCCCACAACGUCGCCGAAUAUGAGGCGCUCCUUCAUGGACUGCGGAUUGCAAUUUCCCUAGGGAUAAAGCGUCUAAUAGUUCGAGGCGAUUCACAGCUGGUCGUCAACCAAGUUAUGAAAGAGUGGUCCUGCCUUGACGACAACAUGAUGGCGUAUCGACAAGAGGUACGCAAAUUGGAAGACAAGUUCGAUGGACUCGAGCUCAGUCACGUUCUUCGACACAAUAAUGAAGCCGCCGACAGACUUGCCAACUUUGGAUCCAAGCGCGAGGCGGCACCCUCUGAUGUUUUCGUCGAACACCUUUAUACGCCGACAGUACCUCACAAAGAUACUACUCAAGUUGCGGGCACUCAUGACGUAGCUAUGGUUGAAGCCGACUGGCGAGAGCCCCUCAUACGAUUUUUGACUUCUCAAGAACUUCCCCAAGACAAAGAUGAAGCCGAGCGGAUUUCAAGGCGGAGCAAACUUUAUGUUAUGCAUGAAGCUGAGUUAUACAAGAAAAGCCCUUCAGGAGUUCUGCAACGCUGCGUAUCUUUAGAGGAAGGGAGACAAUUGCUGAAAGACAUACAUUCUGGGAUAUGCGGAAUCCAUGCUGCUGCACGCACCAUUGUCGGCAAAGCUUACCGGCAGGGUUUUUUCUGGCCUACUGCAGUGUCCGACGCCGACAAAAUUGUGCGCACAUGUGAAGGUUGCCAAUUUUUCGCCAGACAAAUUCAUCUACCAGCUCAAGAGUUGCAGACUAUCCCGCUGUCUUGGCCGUUUGCGGUUUGGGGGCUCGACAUGGUCGGCCCGUUUAAAAAGGCAGUCGGCGGUUACACGCACCUCUUUGUGGCCAUUGACAAAUUCUCCAAGUGGAUUGAAGCUAAACCGGUUGUCACAAUUACAGCAGAUAACGCUCGAGACUUCUUCAUCAAUAUUGUGCAUAGAUUUGGAGUGCCCAAUCGGAUCAUCACUGAUAAUGGCAGACAAUUCACUGGCGGAGUUUUUAAAGACUUUUGUGAAGACUUUGGAAUUAAGAUUUGUUAUGCCUCAGUAGCACAUCCCAUGAGCAAUGGACAGGUGGAGCGAGCCAACGGCAUGAUACUUCAAGGGAUUAAAGCGCGAGUUUUUGACCGGCUAAAACCCUAUGCCGGCAAAUGGGUGAAACAGCUACCAUCAGUGCUUUGGUCUUUGCGUACUACACCCAGUCGGGCCACAGGCCAGUCGCCUUUUUUCCUUGUCUAUGGGGCAGAAGCAAUGUUGCCGAGUGAAGUCGAAUUCGAGUCUUUGCGCUUUCGUAAUUUCCGCGAAGAACGCUAUGAAGAGGACCGAGUGGAUGACUUGCACCGACUGGAAGAAGUCCGCGAAGCAGCUUUGAUUCGGUCGGCUCGAUACUUACAAGGGUUGCGGCGUUAUCAUAAUCGCAAUGUUCGAUCCCGUGCCGUUUUAGUCGGCGACCUGGUUUUGAGGAAAAUUCAAACUACACGGGAUCGGCACAAGUUAUCUCCUCUAUGGGAGGGGCCAUUUAUCAUCUCUGAAGUCACCCGGCCAGGUUCCUAUCGACUCAAGCGCGAAGACGGUACUCUCGUCGACAACUCUUGGAACAUUGAACAUCUUCGUCGUUUCUACGCUUAGGCUUAUCAUUGUACUUCCCUAUCUUGACUGUCAACAUCAAGUUUUCUCCUUGAAGUUGUCAGUCGGGGGCUAUCAUCAUAAUAACGUAGUGUGAUUUUUUAUCAAUUCAAUUUGCUUACUUGGUUUAUCAUUGCCUUGUUCGAUUUUUCUACUUAGUUUGCGAGGACUGAAAGUUUUUAAUAGCUUCUUUGGGUUUUAGGCUCAACAAAGCUUGAUAAAAGCUUUUAAGAAAUCAAAGACUUGGCUAGAAUUAUCAAGCACAGCAUAAAUACACCAGUAUUGUACAAGUUGAGCCUCCAUUUGCUACAUUCAUACUCACUCAGAAUCAGUCUUUUCAUCAUCAGAGUUGUUACUACUCGGCUGAAGGUCAGUAUUGCGGAAUUGAUCUACAACGUCACUUGCAAUCUUGUCAGCCGCGUUUUGAGCAUUGCUGAUAAGAUCAAGAGCAGCCUCUUCGCUUGUCCCGUCUGCAAAGCCAUCAAUGGCGUCAAUUUCAAUCCUCGGGUACAAGGAUUUGGUCAUCGCCAAUGCCAUGCUAGCUCCCAUACUUCCAGCUUUCUUGAUGUUCUUGAAAUAUACAUCCGGAGCAACUCUCAGCUUGUCGAAAAUUUCGGUUGCGUCGAGUGCACUCGGACCACUGUUAUUGAGGAACAUAGCUUGGACGAGUGGGGCAGCGACAUUAGCGACUUCAUCUCUUGCUCCUUCAAGCCUCUUGAUCUUACCAACCAGGACGUCGAAUUGAGCUUGAGAUUUGAUUUUGCGGUCUGCAAAACAUAUUUAUAAUAAGAAUCUGCUGCAUUAAAAAGAGGGAAGUUCAGAUUGUCAGCUGGCAGUACCUUCAACCUCCUUCAAGGCCGAGUCCCUUUGCGCAGCCAGUUCUACCUUGUCUCUUUCCAGGGCUUCAAUUUGUUUCUCCAUUUGAGCCAUCCUGGCGGCAUGCGCUGUUUGAAAUCCGAAUAGUUGAGGAUACAGUUAUGACAGCAUAAAUUAAUGGGACAGAUCUAGAGAUUACCUUUUGAUGAACCACUCAGCUCGUAGUUUGAAUCCUGGAGCUGGGCAAUUCGGUCCCUUAAUUCCUUCUCUGUCUUUUUGGCGAGCUCCUUGGCCUCGUGUAGCUGGUCCCUAACUGCUUCAAGAGUUCCCAAAUGAGGAACCAGCUUUUCUAAAGUUGCGGUCUUGGCCUCAUUACGAAGAUGGAUUCUCUGCAUGAUGGUUCAUGGUUUAGUUUUGCUGAAGAGAAAACAAAGUCGUCAAAAGGCAGUCACCCGGAAUAUUUACAUUCACGAUGCGAGUGGCUUCUCCAAGUGCCUUCUUCAGCUGGCACACUUCCUCAUCCUCUUUUUGACGAUUUAUGACGAUGCCGGCAGCUUGUGAGUUUUCAUCCCACCAUUUGAGCAAGAUCGGAGGACGAGAGUCAUCAGCCGCUUUUAUGCGAGGAAUCUCUUCUUCAUCAUCGCCUGGUGGUCCUGAUGUAUUUCCAAUACGUUAGACGAAUAAACCGAGGUUAUUUAAAUCAGCAUCACUUGAGAAGACGGGUUACCUGAGGAUGUUCCUAGCUGAGCGUGAGGUGAUCCUUGUUCUUUAUUUGGAGACCCAAUCAUCGAGUCGUUACCAGCCUCUGGUCCUUGAGAAGUUGUCGUCUGCGCUUCAACUUCGGGGAUUUCUUGAUCGAGACCUACAUCCGACUGGUUUCCAGUCGGGGGCUCUUGGGUUGUUGCAGUUUCAGCUGCUGCCGACUGGUUUCCAGUCGGCGGCUGGUCACUCGGAUCGGCCUUAUCACCCGAAGCAUGGGCGCCAGUCGGCUCAGGAUCCUUGGAUAAAUUUGGCUCUGUCACAGCCGGAUCAGGAUCUUUUCCAGUUGGGUCUAUGUCAGAUGGUUUCCUGCAAAGUGUUCUUUCAAUAUUCAGUAUUAUUUUCAUGAGAGAAGCGUGCCGAAGUGAAAUGGUACCAAGAGGUUUUAUACCUAGAAGAUGUUCUAAUCUUUGGCGUUGGGCGGUUAGCCAGUUUUUUCCUGGGCAUGGUACGCUUUGGGAGUUUAUUAGGCGAGCCCUUGUCCCCAGAUUUGUUGUCGUCGUCGCCUUCAUCGUUGUCAAGUACCAGUUUUCUCUUGCGAGAACCUGUCUGUCCAGUUGGAUUGGAGGUUUGAGGUUGCGGAUCUGAUCUGAUUGUUGGCCCUCCACCUCCCUGAACGGUGUGCUGGCGAGGAGACCGGCGCUGAGUGAUUGGAGGAUCAGAUUUCAUCAAUACAUAUUCCUGAAUGAGAUGCCUCCACGGUUAGUUAACUCAACAUGAAGACAAGAUAAUGUUUUGGUCAUAGGUUGAAGAUUUCAGAUACAUACCUGCGGAGGCGGAUUGAAUGCGUUAUAUGGCACAACUGGCAGCUGAUGUGAGUAGCUGACGACAAUAGCGUUUGAGAAGAUUUUAUACAUUCUCUCCUUCAUGAUUUUAAAAUCCAAAGAAUCUGGUUCUUCGCGGUUAGGAUCAUGCUUGCCGUCAAACUCGAAUGCCGUACGAGAUCUUUCUUUAAUUGGUGCCAAUCGGCAUUUGAUGAAGUGCCGAGUAAUCUGCUCUCCUUGUAAGCCUUGUUCUUUGAGUUUUAGCAUGCGAUCCAUCAACUCCAAGGCUUGGGCUGCUUCAUCCCCAAUCGGAAGAGAGUUCCAGGUAUCUAGGUACACCGGAGGAAGACAAGAGUACUCGGGAAGAGCAGGCUCAGGAUUCUGAAUAUAAAACCAGUUUGCAUGCCACCCUUUGUUUGAGGUUUUGAAAGGCAUAGAGAAGUACUUCUGGCUCAGAGUCCCCCUCAGCUGAAAUCCAGCCCCCCCGACUACACAUGGCUUACUCUUGUUCGGUUGGGGCUUGAGAAAGAAGAUCCGGCGAAACAGAGCGAAGUGGGGCUUAAUUCCCAAGAAGGCUUCACAAACAUGGACGAAAUUGGCGAUGUGGACUAUGGAAUUUGGAUUUAGGUGAUGCAAGCUGAUUCCAUAGAAGCUUAAUAUCCCGCGGAAAAAUUUCGAGGUCGGAAGAGCGAAGCCGCCAUAGAAGAAAUGGGAAAAGACUACAACCUCAUGUGUAUCGGGGGACGGAAAAGCCUCACCGUGCGCUGGCCGCCACCCGAUGAUCUCCUUGGCAGGGAGAACGCCGUGCGCCACCAUCUCCUUCAGGUUCUCCUCCGUCACGUCGGAUGGCGCCCAUUGGCCUUCAAAGCUUUCUUUCUCUUCCGCCAUUGAUUUUACCCGAAUACGUCGAUUUGAUUCGAGGGAUGGCUAGGGAGAGGUGAGGGAUUGAGGCGGUGGAUCACGGGAAGGAUUUUGAUGAACUUUUCGAAGGUGGAUUCGAGUGGAAUGGUAAACCCUAGUUUGCCGGCGCAGCUCUGUACUGUAGCAGGGAGUGGGGAAAAUGGCGAGAGUUCCGGCGGGGAAGACGAAGUGACGCUUGGAUCUUGGAAUUUCUUGUUAAGGGUAUCGGAGGUGCGAAUGGGCUUAGGCCUGAACAGUACCUCAGCCCAGUACUUUUAACAGCGUGGCCCAUUGUGCUCCUUAGGGACUUAGGCAUUUUUUGCUUUGGCAAUUUAUGCGCACAAAAGUGUUGCCCAAUGCUGAUAAAAUCCUUUUUACGCGGUCAUAUAAUUCUUUGUAAUUAUUGCAAUGCAAAUUAAAAGGUGCCCGACAGAAAGGUGUUAUGCUGUUUUUGUAAGCUUUUUUAGGCUACGAAAGCUGUCUGGGUUAACUUGGAAUGACUUGUUUUUUACCAUAGUCAUUUCCUUGGUAUGUUAUAUGCCUGUUUUCAUUAUGGUAAAUAGUCAUAGCUUAGGCUAGUAGACUUAUUCAUUACCAUAUUUUUUAUAAUAUUUGGUGGGUAAUCUUUAGAGUUUUCUACUCGGAUGCCUGUCAAGUGUGUUCAUUCGUGAACCUUUUAAAGUGUUAACACUCGGAUUCCUUUUAUUAUGGCUAAAAAGCAGUCGGCUAGAAUGCCUCUUUAGGCGCCGCGUAUGCUUUUGUCAUAUGACGCACGAUUGUGCUAUUGUUUCGUUCUCAACUAUAUGUUUAGUUUGUUAACUAAUCACAUAGUUGGGGGCUACACCUAAUUAGGUGCAUCUAUUCGAUGCACCAUAUUCUUUAUCUUUUCGCCCUUUACAGUCUUCGUCUUCGCUACUCGGCAGACCUUGGCAUGAAAAGUUUGAAGCACUCGGAUUAUUAUCUUUGAGAAGGCUAUGAUUGUUGACUGCAAAGGUCUCGGGGGCUACUGUGGAGAUUAUGGAUAUCCCAUAUCUACACGGCGAUGAUAUUUGGACUGAAUAUAGGAUACCGAAUAUAGAUAGAAUAUCUUAUUUGUAUCCUGGGUUUGUUUCUCAACUUGUACAUCAAGGAAAUACCUUGAGACUUAGUCGGUUACGACUGUAUUUUAUCUGUAUCUGCGUAUUCCGUUAGGGAUAUAGAUUAUCUUUUGUAACACGGACUCCUUCCCAUAUAUAAGGGGGGUCCAGGUACCUCUAGGGGCAUAUGUUGAUUUUCUCCAAAUCAUACAAUCAAUAAGACACUCGGCGGAUUCAUCCCCGGACAGGAGUAGGGUAUUACUUCUUCAAUAAGAAGGCCUGAACCUGUAUAAAUCCUUUGUCUCCAAACCCAUACACUUUUCCAGCUUGAUAGCCACCCCCUUUUAUUAUUGCCGAAAUCUAGUUUCGACAAGCUCGGACAAAUAUGCCAUAAAUCCUGGAGUUAGUUCAUGAAAGAAUGCACAAGUUUCAUUUUGGGACCAUUUCCUAGAUCUCAACCAAAAUGUAGAAAUGAAUCUCAAAAGCUUUCAGCCAACUGAAAAAUUCAGAUUUUUUCAGAUUUUUGAGGCUGAAAAAGAGGUUGAAAAGGAAUCCAAAUGACCACUGAAAAUUUUGAGUAAAUUUGGAAGUAAACUUCAACUGUUGGGGAUCAAAAGUUGUUAUGUAAGUUACUUCUAGUUUGCAUCCCAUUUAUGGAUAAAAACAUCUCAAAGUUUCAGCAAAUUGGAAGUUUCAGAGUUUUCAGAUUUUUGACAACUCCACAUUAGCUGUAAAACAACAUUGAAAAAGCGCACAAAUGACCUCCAACAAUUUUGGGUAAAUUUGGCAAUCAAGCUCAACUAUAGAGGAUCAAAAGUCAUAUGGUGAUCUUCUUCAAAUUUUCAACCCAUUUUAAGAUACAAAAAUCACAAAUCAGCCCAAAACUAUGCUUGUUCUGAAAAUUUCAGCAAGCUGAGCAAAACGAGAAAAAGUCAAAAUCUUUGCAAAUAAAAUCGAAAUGAGUUGAAACCUUGCAGAUAUGAUCUUAUACUUGUGAGGAACUAUUCCAAAAAGAAUUUCUUAAAAAUCUUUUUUUCUAUCAAAAGAAAAGACAAAAGGAACAUUGUAGGCCUUUAGGUUGAGUAAAUUUGAGUUGAGAGCUCAAAUCACAUUCAAAUUUUAAAUUCAUGGAGUUUGACAUUUAUAAAGCCUUAGGAGGGUUAUAGAUACACUUUUAAGCCAAUAUUCACAAAGAACUUUGGUUCAAAAGGCAUAACCCACCAUAUGCAAGUUUAUGCUAAAAAUGGUCAAGUCAAGAUUUUAGCUGAAACUCAAAUGGUUGUAGAGUUUGAAUGGUUGGUAUUUUGGGAAAACUUUGAACUAGAGAAAUGUUUGAAAUGAUCAACUCUAAAAGUUUUGUAUAGACAACUUUUUCAAAAACUCAAUAGAUUUUGAUUUAGGGAAAUAAAACAUUUUCAACCAAAACAAGAUCCUAAAAGAUCCUAUUGAGACCAAUUUUGCUAUUUUGUUUCACAAAUGGAAAUUUUGACUCCAAAAGCUUUGAAAAACAUUUGAAAUACAAAUUGGGAUAUUUGAAAGGAUUUUCACAAAUAUGGGCCAUUUAAAUAAGAUUUUGACUUUUGUCCAAAAUAGGCUCUUUUGAAAGGCUAUGGAUACAACUUUUUUUAAAAAAAAUCAUAUUUGGGAGCAAGGGGAAUAUGGGUUUGAUUCAAAUUGCUCCCCCUUGAUGCAACUCUCCUUUUUGCUCCAUGAAUUCAAGAUUUGAUAGUAAAGGCCGAGUUUUAGCAAAAGCUACAAAAGCUCUCUUUUGAAAUACCUUCCUCCAAAAAUGCGAAAAGAAGCAAAUGAGAUGGUAUUUGAGAGAAAGUACUAUGCACGAAGUUCAAAUAUGAUUUUGAGCCAAAAAGAUGUAUUUAUUUAGGUUUAAGAAAUAAACUCAACCAAGUGCUAGAAUGUGACCAUAUAUGGUAUAGUUAAGAUUUUUGGUGAGUUUUGGCAUCAAAUUUCUUUUAAUAGGUUGGUCUUUUGGAUAAGGUUCAAAAACCAAAAACAUUUGAAAUGACCAACUCUAUCUAACUUGUUUUGGGCUCCAUUUCAAAUUCCUUUUAGAUAUCCUUGUAGAGAGAAAAAUAGUUUUGCUCCAAAACAAGAUCUUAAAAACUAGAAUUUUAGCCAAAAAUGCAUUUUCACUUUACAAAUAGUUUUUCUUACAAACUAAAGUUUCGAAAACAUAUUGGAGACCUUUUAAAACAUUUUCCAAGUAGUAGUUUUUAAGAACUAUAGUUUUUUUUUUCAAAAAAUUGACUUUUGGUCAAAAUGGGCCUUUUGAAAACCUUUCUAGCACUUUGAUCACUUUGUUCACAUUCUAAGAGUUGUAGUGCAUAUGUAAGAAAUGCAAUACUUUUCCUUAAUGUGAUAUUCUCUUCAACCCAACAAAGAUAGGAAAAAAACACAAGACCGAACUACGAUCAAAUAUGAUUGACAAUAAGCACAAAACCAACAUGAGGCAAAUAUGAUGUAUGAUUAUGAUCAAACCUAUAGCUUCAUAUGCCACAUUUAUUAUGCUCAACAUGCAUAUAUGAUGAUUUUCAUGAGAGGGGGGAAUUUAAUUUUGGAAAGAGCUAUGAGAAUGGAAUGCAACAUACACAAGGUUAUAUAAAACAGAAUUCAAUGUAGAUACAUGUUACCGAUAUGGCAUUGGUUCUUGAUGUGGAUUUUGUAAUGGUUGGUUCCAAAUUCCAAACUUGGUGAGACCCACAUUUUCUUGCAUGAGCCAUACCUCCAAUGCUUCUCCAUGUACCUAUAUUAUCAUUUUAGCACAUUUUGGUCCCAAACAAUGUUGGGUCCAUAAAGGUAAGGCACACGGGACUUAGGCACCCAAAUGGAUUUUGCGCUAGCAUGUGGUGAACUAAUCACCCUAGUAGCACAAAUAUCCUUUUUGUCCUUCCUAAGCAAAUCAAAAUCAAAUGAGGAGUUUGGCUUAGGAAUGUUACCCAUAGGACAAUUUUUACCAAUAUGUCCCUUUGCAUGGCAAUUGUAGCAAAGUCGAUUCUUGUCUUUACAUGGUUCCUUCUUCACCACAUCUUGUAUCUUCCUUGCUACCUUGCUAUUAAGCUUCUUCCUUGAUGACACAAAGUGAUCCUUCAUGUGGGGGCAUGAUGCAACUUCAUGGCCCUUCUCAUUGCAUCCAUAACACUACCUAUUGCUUCUUCUUGUUCUCCUCUUUGGAAGUGUGGCUUGGUCAUCAAUCUUGUUGGAACACAUCAAGGCAUAGUGUCCCACUUUCUUGCACAUGAAGCUAGUAAUGGGAGUUUUGAUCCAACUUUGAAUUUGUCUCUUAUUCAUGUUGUUUUCUUCAUAGGACUUGGUGCAAGCUAAAUUUGAUCCCUUCUCAAGCUUCUUCUCCAUGUUCCCACGGUUAUCUUGAGAAGGUUGAGCCAUGCCCACAAGUCCAUUAUCCAUGUGAUUUUCCCUUUUUCCUACACAAUCCAAGUCACAUGUAGUGCUCGGGGAAAUGUUUGCUUUGGAGCAACAAAUGUUAACACAAGUAAAAUCAACUUGCACUUAUGGCUCAUAGGAUUUUACCGUUGCAAUUAUCACCUCAUGAGCUGCUUCUAGCAUAGCAUGAGAAUCUAUAAGAUUUUCAUGAGAGCACAAAAGCUCAUCAUAUUUUUCUUGUAGCCCGACAUGCUUGCUAGUACUCUCCUCAAGUUGAGAUUUGAGCUCUUCAUUCUCCAAAGAUGCUACACAAGCAAUAGAAUUAGUGGCACAAGCAAAUUCAUUUUCCAAUUUUUCAUACCUCAUAAUUUAUGAAGAAUUAGAUUCAUUGAGUUUCUUGUGUUCAUCGGCUAGACACUUGAUUUCUUCAUUCUUCUUAAUAAGGCAUGCUUGUUGCUUCUCAAUAACCCUCAUGAGUUUGAUCACCAUUGUUGUGUCUUUCUCGUUUAAGUGAUCAACCACGGAGUCAUCAUCGUCACCCAUAAAGCAUGCAUGAUCUUCGGCAAUGGAGUAUGAACAAGUUGAUGAUGAGGAUUCUUCACUUAGCCAUUGAUGUUCAUUCACUUCUUCCUUCAAAAGGUUAGUUCCACAAGUACUAUAGGAAGUAGAGCAUCCAUCCAUAUCAUCCUCACGCACACACUUAGUGCAAGGUGAUAUGUGUGAAUCAACAACACAAUCAAAUAUAACAAUUUCAUUAUCGGUGUUGUUGGAGUCCAAUGAGAGAGUUGGACGAUCAUCAACCUUACUCACCAAUUCAUUACCUUGCUCAUAGUUGUAUGUUGGUGAGAUAGAUGAUGAGGAGAGACCUUCUUGGUCGGAGAAGGUAAUCACUUGGGACUUGUCAUGAUGAGGCAAUGAAGUAGAGCAAUCCCCAAAUAAUGCUUCCACACAAGCAUCCUCUCCACCACAUUUGGGUUUGUCAUAUCUUGCCUUUGGUGUUGUCUAAAUGAGAUGAGCAUCCUCAAGUGGCAUGAUAGUUUUGAACACAUCUUCACUCAAAGCACUAAACAAAACAUUAGUAGCUUGAGCAUUGAGAUGUGUGCAUUUCUCUUCCUCUUCAAAUGAUAGCUCUUUAUCAUUAGGAGGAGAAAUACUCACAUCUACAACUUGCUCUAUAUGAGGACCCAUGGUCCUAAACACAUUAAGCACACGAGUACUCCAAGAUAUCUAAUUUGAACCAUCUAGUAAAAGGAGUUCAAGGAACAUUUCACCUCUUGUCAACAUUUUCUCUCAAGGCGGUGAAGCCCGAAAUAAGAGACCUUGCUCUGAUACCAAUUGAAAGGACCUUGAUGUCGCCUAGAGGGGGGCUGAAUAGGCGUUCCUAAAGGUCCUUUCAAUUGGUAUCAGAGCAAGAUAUAAGGUCACCAACUAUAUUAAUAAAGCAUGCAAGUAGAUCGGGCAAAAACAAGCUCAAGCACAAUAUGAGAGAUGGCGAGAAUAAGCAAACCAAGAGAAGAGACACGUUGAUUUGUUUCCCGAAGUUCGAAUCCACAGAUCCUACGUCUCCGUUGAGGGGCCACAAGGCCGGGUCUAUUUCAACCCUUUCCUCACGAGGUUGCACAAAUGCACUCCUCGGUUUCACUCUUGAUUUCUUCCCUUGCGGAGGCGAAAUCGAAGCCUUCACAAACUUUCCGUGGCACACCACAACCUUGGGUGCUCACCAGCGACGCUUAGCCGUCUAGGAGACCUUAGUCUCCAAGAGUAACAAACACAAUCGAAGAUUUGCUUACUAUGAACUCGAGUGCUCAAAGUAUGGAGUGAGGCUCACUAGCUCUCAACUUUUCAAUCUCUCAAUCCAACUCUCUGCCCUUCUCAAAUCCCUCUCACAAAGAGGCACCACAAAGGUAGGGAAAUGGGGAUGGCUAUUUGGCUUUGGAUGUGUCUAAUACUCACCAAGAACAGCAGCCCCUCAAAGGAGGGGUGGAGGAGUUUAUAUACCCGAGCCUCUCAAAAACUAGCUGUUGGUGGCAAAGACAGGAAUUUUCAGAACUUCCGAAAAUUUACAGAAGCAAAACUCAGUUUCGCAGCUAUUUUUGGAACUUCCGAUAAUUUUCGGAAUUUUCGAAAAGCACAGAGUAAAACGACCAUAACUUUUUGCUCGGGAAUCCGUUUUUGAUGAUCUUGGACUCUAUGGAAAGCUCACUUAGAGGACUACCCAACUCAACCAAGAACACAGUCUAAAACCACUCAAAGGAUAGGGUAAAGCUUAGGUUUCUCUCAAGGUAGCACUAUGAUAUAUAGGUCACAUAGCACCGAGACAUACACAAACACCUCGACGUUGCAUCCCUCUUAAUAGUACAUCAUUCCUAAACUCAAAUAUAAAUAGGAAGAGAAUUAUUCCAAUAGGAAUGCCUUCUUUCCAUCUUUCUUUCAUUGUCUUAAGGGACACCAAUACCGAUACCUUUUCCCCAUAUAUUCUUCAAAUUAUUGAUGCGGUUACUUGUAGGUUCAAAUGGUCUCGCACGGUCCAUCAUGACAAAGCCGUCACUCGCCCUUCACCACCGGAUUUGGUUCUUCGGCGCCAAGCCCCUUGCUUGCCCUUCACCGCCGCAUGGUCCAUCGCGACCGAGCAUCACUUGCCCUUCACCGUCUUGCCAUAGUAGCCACUUCGUAUUCCAUAUUUUCAAUAUCUUCACUUUUUCAUUCUUGGUAUCGUUAGGUGUAAUGAUAUCACUUGAGCAUCAACACCUUUGUAAUCCUUGGGACCUAUUUCUUUCAUUCAACUCAAUAAAAUUAUUAGUCCCAAUGAUCCGGUUGUCAACCUCCACAUGUUGACCAACCGAUCGCAUGUAUAAAAGGAUAUGAAUAAAUGAUGAGUAUUAAUCAACACCACAAGUGUCAUAUACUCAAACAUAUGCUCGAAUGUAAAGAUCUCAAUUAAAUGAAAAUGAAUAACUUGGAUCAAUUACAUGCAUAACUAUAGUAUAGGAUUUGCUCCCCUUAAAUGUAUGCAUACAAAAUGUUUGUGUGACAAGAGUAUGCAUAAUAAGAUAUGAAACUUUGAGAGCUUAUCCUAUACAAGAAUAGAAGGCAUUUAUCAAAUAUAGGUAUUAAAAUAAAAACAUACCUUCACCUUCUCCAUGUUCUCAAUGUAAAGAGACUAAACAAGAUAUGGCUCAAACAAAACAUUAGUCUCACAUGCAUAUGUCAAUGACGUGGAAUUAUUAUAUAUGAACAUAUCAAUAUGUACAUGGAGAGAAAGAGUGAUACAUAUAGCUUGAUCUCCAUGCAUUUCAUCUUUGUGAUUUAGUUCCACCAUCAAUGAAUGUUUAUAUCUCAACUCAUAUGAAGUCUGGGAAUCACCUCUCACACACUCCACUUUCAUAUCCACAUGAGACUAGGCAAAGAAAUGCUUAUAAAAACAUUAGUCUGAUAUAAUUAGAGUUGUCAUUAAUCACCAAAACCAAAUUAAUGGCACUUGAACUUUCAAUCUCCCCCUUUUUGAUGAUUGAUGACAAAUCCAUUAAAAAUGAUCACAUUUGGAUAUGAAGGGUGAAAUCAAUGAUAUAAAUCAACAUGAUAUGAGAAAUUGACAAUUGAUUUAUAUCCAUGCAUGUGAUGCUUGUGCAUAUGGUGCAUGUUGGAUGCUAUGAUAGAUGAUGGUAUGCUUCUUUUCACGACAUGCACCAAAUGAAUGUGGGAUCCUAGAAUAUUUUCCCUUUGUAUAUCAACGAUCAUAUCAAAUGUAGGAUCCUCAAAUAUUCCCCCCCUUUUGGCAUUAAUCACAAAAAGAUUUGCAUGGAACCGAAGAGAAACAAUUUUGCUCAAGCAAAACAAGAACAAACAUUCACAAGACCAAAAAAAAAAAGAUGAAAGCUCAAAGCAAAAAUUUGAGAAACGGUCUAUUUAAGAAAUGCUCCCCCUUACACUCGGAGUCUUGUUACUUAGACAAGAAGAAUUAGAAUGGAUUUUAUUUGUAGGAGGGAGUGAUUAUGAGCACUUGAACUUUCUCUCGAAAUAUACUCAUCAAUUAUUUUCUCUAUGAGAGGAGUUUGGUCAAAGAUACUUGAGAGAUUUUUGGUCAAGUGAGUACUCUCGGCAAUGGAAUGGCAAAGAUUGGCAAAUACUGAGUGCAAGAUGAUCAAAGGAUACUACCGUUUUAUAUGGACACUACUUGUGUAUGCAAGUGUAAAUUUGGAAUCAAGAAAUGGUAGUUGGCUUUGGUAGCAAGGAUCAACUUGUAUUUGGUGGCAAAGAUUGGAAUUUGGAGUCUACCCAUGGAGGCUUGGUUUUGAGAAGUCCAAAAAUGACUUUUGAGUUUCGGUGGAAUCAUAUAUCAUGGGCAUUUCAUAAACCAAAAGAGUUCAAGCAAGGAGCACAUCCAAAAGAGUUCAAGAAUACAAUAAGUUUUAGAAACAACAAAGAACUAUUACUUGAAAGAAUUACCAUAUUAACAGGGAAAGGAUUACCAUCGACCUUCAUCGGCUUUUUCGAGUCAUCAAAUUUAAUUUUUUUCCCCUUCAAUGGCCACCUGGAUUUGCUGUCUAAAAGCUUUACUGUCACGUCCCAAAACGACUCUAAAAUACAUCCUCUAAAUUAUGCCUAGAAUAAUUAAAAUCCAUGUGAAAGCCUCCAACAAUUAAAAUGUGCAAAGUUAAAAGUCAAAUAAGGCUUGGAGGAUUUUUGUAUAUUUCCUAAAAGCCUAAAAUGCGUAAAUAAAUUUUAGUGGAAUUUUCAGAGCACAAAUAAUAAUUAUUAAGAAAUAAACAAAGUUAAAAUGAUUUUAUAAAAAGAAAAACUCUAAAAAGUCCCCUUUCCCUCCCUCUCCCUCUUGGGCCGGCUCGGCCCAUCUCCCUCCCCCUCCCUCUCCUCUCCCUGCGGCCCAUCCGGCCUCUCCCCGCGCGCGCGCCGCUGAUGGGCGGGCCCGCCCGCCACCCUCGCUGACGGGUGGGGCCCACCCGUCAUCCCCUUCCUCCCGCCGCUCCCGCCGCCUCGCCCGCGCCCUAGCGCCGCCGCCGCCGCGAAUCCCACCGCCUCCCGCCGUCCCCGCGUGCAAUAAAGAGGGGGAAAUCACUCCCCGUGAUCCCCUCUCCCUUUCCCCCCAUUUUUCCCUCUCUCUCUCGUGUUCAAACGGGCGGAUUUGCCCCCGCAAAUCUCGUCGGCGCCAUUGAUGGCGGCCGGACCUCCCGCGCCUAUUCCUUCCCCGCCGGCCGCUCUCUCCCCCUUCCAACCCUAUUUAAACCCUCCCCGCACCUCCUCCGUCCGUUUCCGCCUCUCGCCGACCUUCCUCCUCGCCGGAAUCGAGCUCGCGCCGUCGCUCUCUCUCUCCGCCGUCGCCGCCGAGCUCCGGUCCGCCGCCGUCGUCGCCCCAGACCACCUCCCACCUCGGCGCCGCCUCCUUCGGCUUCGCCGCAUCCUCGCCGACCACGUCCACCCCUCCGUUUCGCUCGUCGACCACCGGAGCGCCGCCGUCCCCGUCGACCCGAGCCGCGCAGCCGCCUUCCUCCGCUCCGGCUGCCUUUUCGUCGUCGCCGUCGACCUAGGGUGAGCCGUGGACCGCCGCCUCGUUUCCCCCUUUCCCUCCCCUCUCUCGGCCGCCGCUCCGAUGUGCCCAUGGCCGCCGCCGGCGACCAUAGGGGCGCGAGCGCGCCGCCUCCCGCCGGCCGCGCCGACGUGGCCGCCUUCGGGCGCACCGAGCGGUUGCCGCGUGGGGCCCGGCCUUCAGCCGCCCGCGCCCUCGGGUGCGGCUGAUGCGUGGGACCCACGGCGCCGGCCGGUGUGAGCCCGAGUGCACCCUGUCCACCAUGGACCGUGAGGCUGCCGCGUGGGCCCCACUCUCGUGGAACCGGUCCGCGCGCCCCCUCUCCUCGGCUGACGCAAUAAAGCCUUUUAAAAUUAAAACUUAAAUGAAGAAAUUCGCAAGUAUUCAUUUAAAGAGCAUAUAACCUUCAAAUGGCCAUAACUUGGCCAUUUGAACUCGGAAUUGGACCAUUCAAGUCUCUAAUUUUUCCUUAAGAAGUCAAGAACCCAUUUUUGUGCUUUGUUCCUGCUUGUUAUAUGGAGUUUAUUAGAGUAAAAGCCUUUUCUUUUCCGUUGGUCGUGUAGACGCUGCAGCUUCGGAAGAUCCGCUCUUCGUGGAAGUUGAAGCCGACGUUUGGGAAAGCGAGCAAGACAAGUCACAUCAUCCUUGAACAUAUUGAAUCUUAGUUUAUAAAAUUAUGUUGAUUUAAAUUAUUGCAUUAUCGCUUUAUUUAAAUUCCCGCGUUAUCACUGUUUUAUCUAGCCAUGCCAAUUUACCUUUGUUAUGACCUUAUUAUUGUUAUUGUUAUUAUUUCCUUGUUCACCCUAGAAUAAACAAAACCCCAACUAGUGGACACUCUACUCAUGGUACCACUAGUAUGAUUUUAGGUAGAUGCUUCGCUGGUUAAUUAGGCAACAUUAGGUGGUUUUACAACUCUAGACUUUGGGAUAUUCAUAUCACCUGGACACUAUGGAAUGGUUGGAUUAUUGUGGAAUUGGAUUCACACCUCCCCCUCUAUUCAAAAUCCUCAAAAUGGUUUUAGGCUGGGCUCGGGGUGCAUGGUUUUGAUAGUAGCACCUCGGCCAUAUAAGGACCGGUCUUCGGGCCUCUGUUGCAAAGCACUACCGUACUUCCACAUGUCUAGUGGGUAAGGCUUAGUUUGUGGCUCAGUCUGGUUAUAAACAAAAGUACACGGAUGGAGAUGGACGAAGUCGGGGGUCGAUGGACAUCUCUAGGACAAAUGAAGGCUACACGAGCUGCGGCCCGGUAGUCGAGAUGUCAUGGCACAGGGCCGGUGUCCUGCUGCUAGGGGCUCAGUCCUGCCUACCUGUCCCGGGGGUUCCGGCCGUAGGUGGGGUUGGGUCGGUACUCUUGUCUAUGGCUAGGAUGGGUUGGAAACUAUGUCACGUCUUCCGUCCGUAUACCAUGGUGGUAUGUGGCACGUGGUUACACGUGAGGAAGAUGUGUCUUUUGGGUAAAGAUGUACACCUUUGAUCAGAGUAUAAUCUAUUCGAAUAGCCGCGCCCUCGGUUAUGGGCAAGCCGAGCAAUGUACCCAAGUUAGUGUUUUAAUUCUUAAAACCUGCUUAACAACUAAAAUGUGGAAUGGUUGGCCUGGGUUGGCUUGGGACGAGCUGGGACCCAGGGUCGGGUUGCCAGUUCGGUCUGAAUCAUCGUAGGCCUUGGGUUAAGGCAGGUUCGUGUGGGUUCACGGCCUUGAUUAAUAAUAUUGUAUAGCUCUGGAAUCGUGUUUACAAAAUAGCUUUGAGCAACUAAGUGUCUUUUAAUGCUGUUUAUUGCAAACCCUAACCCUUUAUAUUAUAACCCCCUUGUACUCCCUUGCAUUUAUCCUGCACUUGUGGGUGUGUCUUGUUGAGUACGGUGGUUGUACUCAAUCUUGCUCAAUUUUUCCCAAACCCAGAAGGGGAGCCCCUGGAAGAUGAAGGCUUUGGUGUCUAGCUCGCGCCUGCCGUCAAGCGCCUGUGGUCGUCGCCCUAGUCUUCCGCUGUUUUCCGUUUGUCUUUGUGUGUGCUGGGCCUUUGCCGCCCAUGUAAUAAAUUAACUAUUUACGCUUCCGCUUGAUAAACUCUGAAAUGUAUCAACUUUUGGUGUACCUUGCCUCCUGGGACAAGGAAUAAUACACGCACGUAAGGAACGCCCGUUGGGUUAAUUCCGGUCGUGACAUUUACAGUCAUUAGUAGAAUGAGAACCAGAGUUAUUCCAUUUGCAAUACCUCCUUUUGCCUAGUUCCUCAGCCGAUGGUAUAAUAUGACCAGCAGGAAGUUGAAUCCGCUUCUCCCGAAGUAACAAGUCAAAGAUCUUAUCAGCCUUGGUAAUAUCAAAAUCAAAUCUUUCUUCUUUUCCAGAACUCUUCACCCAUGGGCAUGGCACAACCUUUUUGCUCCUGACCCAUUCGGCUGCUGCUACUUCGGAGUCAUCAUCAUCAUCAUCGGAUCCAUACAUGUAAGGAUAGACAUGAUUGAUUUUCUUGAAAUUCUUCUUAGCCUCUGCAAACCUUUGCUCAUGCAGAGUUACCUUCUGUGCAAGAUGUGAUAAACUAUCAAACUCCUAAGAUGAGAACUUCUCCUCGAUUUGGAGCUAUCAGACCCUGAAAAGCCAAAUCGGCUAGCUGGGAAUCAGUCAGACUCAAACUGUAGCACCGAUUCCUCAUCUCUCUGAAUCUCUGAAUAUAAUCCUGCACAGCUUCGUCAUGAACUCCACUAUAGAAGUAGCUAUGGAAUUGUUUCUCCAAAUCGGCCCAACUAUUAAUUGAAUUGUACGGUAGAGAAGAAAACCAAGUAGAAGCCGUUCCGGACAAAGACAAGGGGAACAACCUGACCCUUAAGGCGUCAACAGCCGAUGCCUCACCACAUUGAGCUAUGAAUCGGCUGACAUGCUCAUAAGUCGAGACAUUGUCUUGUCCUGAGAAUUUUGAAAAAUCUGGAACUUUGUAUCGGUUAGGCAAUUGAACCCUCUCGAACCAUUCAAGAUAUGGAUGCCGAUAUAAGUUUCCAGUGUCCUUUGGUUUAAGCCCAAAUUGCUCCCUUAUCACAUCUACAAUCAAAUCGGCCCAUAGUCCUCUGCUGAGGCACCCCUUGCACUUGUUAUGGUAUAGGCUCGAAUUGAUUGAACUGAGGAGCAAACUGAGGCUGAGCUGAUCCCCCCUCUGAUACUGAACAUGUGGCGAUGGAGGCUGAUAUUGGUAAUUCAAAUUGCCCCCUUGAUAAUUCUGAAAGUUUGGUUGUAUGUUGCGCACCAAAUGUUCGGGAAUAACUUGAGGUAUCACCGAUUGAUCUGGUUGCACAUUAUGAACCAAGUGUUCAGGGACAACUUGAGUUGCGACAUGCUGCCUUAGCUGAUUAUCAGGCGUCCUCAACCCAGCUGAUGCAUUUAGCAAACCUUGCUGUUGAAUCGGCUGAGUAAUCUGCUGCCUUGGUGGCGUUUGCUGAAUCGACAGUGCUGGGUCGGCAGCUGGUGGAUUUGGCAAGAACAUAGCAGCCACCUGCUCCUGAGUUAGCCGAUUGACGUUUUGUCCACCCCGCUAUGGCUAUUCUCUGACCAGUAACCGUGGAUUGGUAAUUUGUCUUGGUGCCGAUACUGGUGCCGUCGGCUGAGCUGGUGGUACAUUAGAAGUACUCGGCUGAUUAUUUGUGAUCAGAGGCCGAUAAUUUGGGAAAACACCUCCUGGUAAAUAUACUGGUCCUGUAGCCUGAUACUCAGCUAUUGAACAAUCAACCAGUGACUUCACCAUGUUUGACAAGGUAUUGACUAAUACUCUGGAUUGAUUGAUCAAAGCAUGUUGCACGGUAUAGUCAAUCCGGUCUUGGAAAUUGUUGAACUGUGGUUGUAGUCCAUUGCCAUCUAGACCAAGAUCUUCAACUUGCCCUUCCUGAAAACCGUCACCUUUAUCUCCUGAUCCCUCUGCAAUGCCUAUACCGCCUGAUUCAUUUGUACCAGCCGGAACUUGUUGUCCUUCUCCAUCCUUAGAAGAACAUGUUCCAGGAACAUCAGCAACUAAUUUUACCUUAUACUUCUGAACAACUGUUCCAUUACGGGUCUCCAUGAACAAGUUCAAGAACUAGUGUUGUGCUUGCUGCAUCGUUAGCUCAAACUCCUUUUGCUCUGUUGUUAGUUUAUCUACAGUGAUUGGAACAAUGUUUCCAUCAUGAACUUCAGACCCAUUAGGCUUUGGAAUUUUAGUCCUGGGAGGGACCUCCGGCUGCCAGCCGACGACGGUGAUGGUGGUGGUUUCUCCGCCAUGAGAGAACGUUGUUGCAACUCGGUCCCAUCGGGCGUGCCAAAAUCGUGUUGAUGCGAAAACACGAGGACUGAGAGAUCUGCUUAACUCCAGGGUAGGUCUAAAAGCUUGCCUUUAGGUUCGUGAGCGUGCCAGUUGAUUUGAUCCUGCAAUCAACAAGAAAUAAAGACAAAGAAACCACGAUUAAAUCCAUAAAUGAUAGCCGAUCGGCUAGUUGCCGAUGACAUAUCAUUUAUCUUUGAGCCGAUGUCAUAUGUAGAUCGAUCGAUAGUCAUAACAAGUAAGAAAGAACUAAAUCUUCUCGAUCGGCUAUAGAUAUUAACAAUAUAUAAUCCUUAUGUCUAUAUAUACUUAAAUCAAGUGAUUGGGAUAGAUCGGUCGUCAUGCCGAGACAGUAUAAAUCACUUAGAUCGAAAUAUAUAUUAACAACAGGACUAUAUAUGUUCAUAGCAUAGCCGAUCAGAUAGAUCUAGCGUGUAUCGGCUAAUACUCUGAUACUGUUCUAUAUUAAGAUAUCAAUGCAAGUAAAAUAUACCGAACAAAAGCCUAAUAUAUUUAUGUACAACAAGAUCUUAAUAUAAAGGGCAGAUUUAACAUGUCAAUCAAGCAUAUAAAAUACUCCCUCCAUUUCACAAUGUAAGUCAUUCUAGCAUUUCCCACAUUCAUAUUAUAUAUGUCUAGAUUCAUUAAUAUAAAUAUGAAUGUGGGAAAUGCUAGAAUGACUUACAUUGUGAAACGGAGGAAGUAUAAAGUAGUUAAAUCAGGUAAGAUCGGCUGAAACCCCGAUGCUACCCUAAUCGGCAACCAGAAAGCAGGCUAGAGAUUAAGAUUCUAAUCACAACUUAUAAGAUCAAACCCAAUUGAUGCAGUUAUAAGUAUGAAAAGAAGGACAAUAUCUAGACAAUCAAGCCGCUGGAUGUUUCAUAGAGUGGUAGAUAUCCUAUAUAAUCUCAACGUUGGUAUUUAACCUGAUUGACUACCUUCUAGCGAUAGAUGUUAGCCGAUUGAAGGUUAAAUAAUAAUAUUGCCUAAGAUUAUAUAAACUAUAUGAUAACUCGAUGAAUUACAUAAACAAGAUUAGAGUAUCAUAAAGAUGGAAGCACUAAUCCCGAGAACGCAAGCCGCCAUAACAAGUUUUACCUCUAGUUGAAGAUCGAAACCGAUGCAGCUCAACCCGAAAGCAAGAACUCGUCGAAACAAAAUGAAAGUAAAAGGGUGGCGAUGCACCGAGAUUGUAUUGAACGUGUGUUGUUGUAUUACAUGGGGCUCGGGGUCUAUUUAUACCCAAGAUUACAAAAUAUGUCCGUGUUGGACACGACUCUUAUCUCUAACAAACUCUAAGAUACCAUAAGUCUUUGCGGUAGACUUUUGCCCAAACAUAUCUCUAAGGGAAUUACAUAAAAUAUCCGAAUUAAUAGAUACAAUUGCCUUUCCAAAACCCAAUCCGUGUGUGGCAAUCCAUAUGAAACACAUUAACACAACUCGACAACGUAUACCGAGUCGUAUUGUCGGAAUCGGCUCAAUCGGCUAACCUUGUCCGACUCAAACUCUGCCGAUUAUGAUCGUAGCCGAUUCGGACUUAGCCGAUUCUUGCUCUGUUUCCGAAACGAUCUUGAUCUUGGAUUCCGCUUCGAUCCUAUCUUCAUCUCCGACACUUGGAUUACCAAAUUUGGUUGUUAACAUCGGUAGAGCGUCAGCAAUACAUCCUUGCAUAGAAACAUAAAGUUUAAUUAUGAGAUGUUUUUACAGAGUAAAGUGCGCUCAUGGUAUGUCAACUUGGCAAGUACGGUGAAAGUAGUUAAUGCAAUAAAUUGAAAAAGGUACGAAAAAUUUAGUGUAAAAUUUGGUACCUCUUGGUACCUAGGUACUAUGAGAUACCAAAUUUACAAUAGAAAAAGUGAUACAUCAUGGUACCUACUCAAGGACCGUAAAAUUGCUCAUUGAAAAUAAUGUGGUGUGAUACGAUGCAAGAGGGUGGGUUCUUUGGUGUUAGGAGAAUGUGUACUUCUAACUCUCCCUGAAGCCUCAUAACUUUUCCUACAAGAUUUUGUUAAGCAAAUGAUAACGUCAGUAGCUCCAAUAACGAAUAGAGAUGCACAUUGAUAAAAAAAAAACAACUAGAGAUGCACUUCAAUUCCCAAUUAAUACCAGCAAGCUUAGAAGGCUUUUGGCCUUUGGUUGCUCACAAGGUAAGUUGGAUCCCUCAACUUUCUAUUAAUUUCUAAUUUGAGUCUCUCCUAUAAGCAGAACCUAUAAGCCCCAAAAUUAAUCCUAAAGAAGCAAUAAAUUCUCACAUUAGUCAAAAACAUUAAAUCAACAAUGUCCAUCUAUCCAAUCUAUUGAUCUUCUAGCACAAAAUAUAUGGAUUUAUUAAAACCAGAAUUAAUGAAGCUCCAGCUUAUUUGGUUUUGACUAUUAAUUACUCCCUCCAACCCACUGAAUAAGACAUAUAUGUAUUUUAAUAUUCAACUCUUUAAAUAUUUUACCAAUAACUAUUUUAUUAUAAAUUAAAUUUAUUUGAUAAUACCAUUGGAUUGACAUUUGAAUUUACUUUCCUAUGAUUAUGAUUUUGUUUCUACAAACAUUAGUAUAAGAAAAAUUUAAAGUAAAAGAUUAGUUUUGGAAACCGUGAUAAGUUUGGUCAUGCCUUAUUUAGUGGAACAAUGGGAGGAUAUUUUUUUAUGAUUUAAUAAUAAACACAAAGUGAGCAUAACUCAACUGGUUAGGCAAAACUCUAGAGUCGGCACUAAAGCACAAGGGGUCUAGCCAUGGUGACUGGGUCCAGGGAGUAAUGGGGAUCCGACCCGGUAAGGUGAGAGCUGUCAUGCCUGGUGCACUACUACCUUUCCCACAUUCUUUCUGGAUCUCCUCAAGUCGCGGCUUGCCCUAGAAUCACUAUCGCCACUUCUCAAAACACUUUCCAGCAUUUCCGGAGGCUUGAGCAAUGUGAGUUUGGGUGGAGGAAUAAAGUGGCUGAGAGAAGAUGUUGCGGGGGAGACAUCGGAGAUUGAAAGGGAUGGGGAUGGGGAUGGGAGACUCGCAAGGUUUUACAAUGGUGGUAAAGGUGGUGGGGAAAGCUCCAAUGGAGGACAUAUUCCGUUCAAGCAGGUGACAUCCACACCACAUCCACGCCACCUUCCCUUCCAAGGGAAUGUGUAUUGAGGUGGAGGAGGUGCAUUGGGCUAGGGAAGAGGCCCUCGACUACCAUAGCCGCACAAUUUGCUGGGUGUUGGCUAUUGGGGGGCGGGAGCAUCAGCGACUACCACAACGUGCAGAGCUAUAUGUGCCGGUGUUGAAGGAGAAAGCCGUAGCGCUGAAGCAACAAUUGAAGGAAUCGAUAUAGGGGGCGCAACAACUCCGUCCGAAGACUACAGUUCAUCAUCAUCGACACCAACAACAUGAGCUUGAUCGGCUUCGCAAGCUGAGACCUAGUGCUCAGAUAAGGCCGUGCUGGGAGAUCCUGAGCCAAUGGCGAAGGUCGUCACAAACAAGUAUCCCAAAACACUGACACCUCUAAAUAGGUCAUGUGAAAUUCAUUGGAUGUCUUUAAUUGAAAUGGAACUGAGAAGAUAAUUGGAAGGAAAGUUAAAAAUAUUAAUGAGGGAAGAGGAAAUAAAAUGAUUUCAAAGGAGUAAGUAAAAAGAGCUAUUAGAAGGGGGACAAUAACACCAAGUAUUAUCAUGGCAAAGCUAAUGGUGGGAAAAGGAAAGACACAAUAACAUAUGUGGCACAGGAAGUAGGGAUAAUUAAAGGGCAGGAGAACUUGUUGAAGUAUAUCACAAUUUUUUACAAAAACUUGUUUGGGUACUGAGAACACACCUCAAUGAAAAUAAAUCUGGGAGUAAUGUUCCAGUAUGGAGGAAAGCAAAAAAAAAAAAGAAGGUGUUUUUGAAAGAGUAAAUUGCACUGCCGGUCCCUAAACUUGUUCGUCUAUGUCAUCUAGGUCCCAAAUUCUCAAAAUGUAUUUUCAGGUUUCCGAACUUGUCAAAGUUUUUUAUUCCGGUCCCAAAUUGCCAAAACCUCUGCGGGAUCAUGUAGUGGGCCAUUUGGACGUUGAAUUACUUUCUUUAUCUUUUUUUCUCCUUUUUCUUUCUCUUCUUCCUUCCCGUUCGUGGGGGGAAAAGAGGAAAAAAGAGAAGGGAAACGUAGAAAGGAAGAAAAUUAAAGAAAAAUAAAAUUUUGGGACCGCAAUAUCCAUGUGGCAUGCCAUAUAAGCACAAUGUAUGAUCCUAGAGGGGUUGUGGCAACUUGGGGGACCAGAAUAACAAACUUUUCGCUAGUUCGGAGAUCUCAAAGUGUAUUUUGAGAGUUUGAGGAUCUAGAUAAUAUGGACGAACAUGUUUAAGGACCGGAAAUACGCUUUACUCUUUUUGAAAUGGCCCUGGUGGUUUCCCUGUCAAAUUUUAAAAGAAAUUCUAGGAUUUAAUAAAAGAGGACUCGAAGAAGAUGGUAUAUGAUUUCCAUGCUGCUCUAUUGGAUAUUAAUUGGCUAAAUCAUCGAGUGACUACCUUGGUGCCAAAAUGUAAGGAGGUAAUACAAAUACCAAAUUUAAACAUUAUUCCUUUUAAAUGUCAGUUUCAAGAUUAUCAUAAAAAUUUUGAUCAACAGGCUUGCUGAAGUGAUUCACCUCUUAAUUGCAAAAAUUAAACUGCUUUCUUGAAGCAAAGAUAUAUUAUGGUGGGUGUAGUAGUUAUUCAUGUAAUUCCGAACUAUCUUCAUACCUAAAAGAAAACAUGUAUUUUGUUUAAAGUUGCUUUGAAAAGGCAUAUGAAAGAUAAAAUGGUCUAUUGUAUAUCAAAUGUUACAAGCAAAAGGAUUUCCUGAUAAAUGGAAUGAUAGGAUAAAGGGAGUAAUGAGAGAAGGUAGGUGUGUGUGAAGCUUAAUGAGGUAGAGGGUCCAUAUUUCAAACUCAGAAAGGAUUGAGACAACUAUACCCUUUUGUCGGGGUUAUGUAUAACACAUACCAAUAGUAGUCGAUUAAGUUUGGCAGGGCCCACCAUAUACCAAGUCUUAUACGGAAUCAUACCUCGUAUAUAGAAUAGAUAGUGGUGGAAACGAGCCGCGGCUUGCAGUGGCUCGCAACAAACUAGACUUGGCUUGGCUCAGCUCAGAUAGGGAAACAAGCUAAAACUUGAGCUCGGCUCGGCUUAAUUCUGGCUCGAGCCAGCUCGAGCUGGCUUGCAAGCCUUCCUGUUGAAACACCUCUUCAUAUAUAUUUUGUAAUUAUUAAAAGAAGCAAGAACAAAUCAUCAACAUGUAAAAUCUAAAUAAGUUUAUAUAUUCAAUUCUUCAAAAUCUUAAUGAUAAAUUUCAAGUUGACAAAUAAUAACGCCAUAAAAAGUGAAAUAAUCGAUAUAAACACAUGAUGGCCUAGGCUUGCAAGCCAAAACAAGCAGCUCGCGAGCCAGCUCGGCUCGGCUCAUUUCAGCAACGAGCUGAAAAGUAGGCUUGGGCUUGGCUCGUUUGGCUUACGAGCCGAGCCGAGCCAACCAAGCUCGAGCCAAGCCCGAGCUGAGCUCACGAGCCCAAGCUUUUUUUCCACCCCUAUAUAGAAGAAGUUCCGGAUAAGGAAUGACAAGUAGAGUUCUAUGUGGAAACUAUAAGGACUACUCAGAUUGUAUCUCAUAUUGGUCUCCCUAGUUCUAUUUGGAUAAGCGGACAUCUACGGGUAUAAAUACAAGACCCCCAAGGAGGAGAGGGGGCACAGAACAGUUAGAAUAGACAGCAAUACGUGCUGCCCAACAUCAAUAUCAGAAAUAAGUCUAGACAUACCCAAUCUGGCGCCUAAGGAUGCCAACAAGGGGGAUCUAGUGCUAUCUCUGAUCUCGAAGGUGACUAGAUAGGUUUUUACAAAUAUUGUACUUGUGUGAUUAUGAUGAAUAAGAGCAAUAUCAGCUUCGGCCAACAGGAGUAGGGCAAUUACCUGAUGAAUAACGGGCCUGAACCUAUAUAAAAAUCCUUGUCUAUGUCUCUGUUACUUCAAUCUUGCAUAUACCCUGGGACCAACGAUCCCCAUACCAUGGAAAUACCAUAGUCGUGAUCUAAAACGUCGACACCUUUGUCUCCCAUGUUGUUUGAUUUGUCUACAGAGGCACAUACAAUCAUGAUGAGUAAUGCUGAAAGACAUCGCGUAAUAACUAGAUUGGCGUUUCAAGACAUAGAUUGGCGUUUUUUUUUUUGGGGGGGUGAUUUUACAAUAUGCAGAUAAUACAAUCCUUCUUUUAGAGGAUUCAUUACAGAAUGAUAAGAAUUGUGCUUGUUUGAAUAAAUGUUAGUGUUAAAAUUAAUUUCCAUAAAAGUGAUCUAUAUAGUGUUGGGUUAUCUGAGGAAAAGGAAAAUCUUCUUAGUUCUAUCUUAACAUGUAAGAAAGCGGAUUUCCCUAUGAAAUAUCCUAGGGAUCCUUUUAACAUAAGAGGAUACAAAACAAGGAUUGAAAACCCUACAAAAGACAAAAUGGAAAGUAAACUGGACUGUUGGCAAGGAAAACUUUUGGUAAUAGGAGGUAGAUUGACUUUGACUAAUGCUAGCUUAAGCAGUAUCUCUCUUUAUAUGUUAUUAUUCUAUACAUUAAAUCAUCGGGUGGACUGCUUUAGUGCUAGGUUUGCGUGGCAAGAGUAUUAGGGGAUUAUAAAUAAUCGCCUAAUUGGUACAAUAGGCCUGACCAGGGGGGAUUGGGUAAUUGAUCUAGAAGUAAUAAACAUUGCCCUAUUAUGGAAAUGGUUGUGGAAAUUGGAAAAUGAACAAGGAUUAUGGCAGGAACAAAUUAUAACAAAUAUUUGGAACAAUAAACUCUAUCUCAGGUCAUACAUAGAGCUGGUGACUCACAUCUUUUGUUUGGCCGAAUGAAAAUCAAAGAACUUUUUUUGAAAUAUUUUAAAACAAUAAGUGGGUUUACGAAUUGUUCAGCCUAAAAUUUGUGACCUACCUUUUUUUGUAAUAGUAACCGCACAUUCCAGCUCAUCCAAUGGGCGAGCCCACUUACACAUACUAUCCCACUUACAGUUUCAUCCUCGCUUCAUGUAAAAUGGUUUAUCCAGCAGGAAUAGGGUCUUAUAAGUUGGACCACAUAGGGCACAUCCUAAUUGGGCUAGGAUGGCACACCCCCUCCCCCUCAAAGGGCCUUACAUCCCUAUUGGUCCAACUUGCAUAUAGGAACACACCUAUGCCAUGUCAUGUGCUUCACACAGAGCCCACAUGGGCCAUGCGCCAUCUGCCCGCACACUAACCCAUAGGCGCAACCGUGAGGGUUAGCUCUGAUAUCAUUUGUAAUAGCCCACCCUUGCAACGGGCGGGUCCACUUACACAUACCACCCAAUUUACACAUAGCCCACCCAUGCAAUCUCGUUGCGCAGCUCAGUCCAUGCAACAGGCGGGCCCACUUACACAUACCAUCCUACUUACACUUUUGUUCUCGCUUUGUGUAAAUGGUUAAGCCGAAAGUGAUAUGGUUGAAGGGACAAGACCUUAUAAGUUGGUUCCACUCUUACUCAGGUGGUACUAAUCAAUUGCACACAACACUCAUGAGUUACAUACGUCACAUCCUAAUUGUUCAAGGAUGUCACAUCAAAUGAGCCUCUCAAACAAUUUCAAUCUAAUUAGAGUAAACACCCGUCUCGUGGGCGAUUCGGAAGGUUUAUGGGACAAAUUUAGAAAGAACAUUGCACUCUCACAGUGAAGAUGGAUGAUUUACAAUGCAAAUCAAUAAAUAUGGGAAAAGUAUGGUAUUAGGUAGAUGGUUGAAAGUACACGUAAAAGAAUGAUUCGAUUUAUUGUUGAGUGUUGGGGUUGGGGGUUCAAUCGAAUCAGCCAUAGCCUUUAAGAAGUAGUUGGUCUUACCUCUCCACAGGCCUUCUCCACGUUCUAUUAUGUUUGAGAUCAAUUAGGACAAAAGAAACCUCGUGCCUAGGCAAGGAAAGACAAGAACAACCUUAAUUAAACUCAGACUUGGGGUUGUCGGGUCCAACCAACGGAACACCUGCGGUCUGACCAUAGGUCACCCUCCAGUACGGCCGGCCUCCAUGGGAAAGCUCCGGUUUAUUCAAAAUUUGAUCCAAAAUUUCUAUAAAUUUGGCCUAGUGCUAAAUUUUGUUGUCAACAAUAGGAAAGUAGAUAUCCCUUCUAAAAGAUCUGGAAAUUUAAGAUUCCAGUCAAAAUCAAAGUGUUCACUUGGUUAGCUCGUAGAAACAAUGUCCUGACUGAAUAUAACCUCAUUAAAAAGAAAUGGAGAAAAGGUAACAACAAAUGUCAGUUCUGUAACGAGAAAGAAACAAUUGAUCGUAUGCUUUUCCAUUGCCAUUUAGCUAGGUUUGUGUGGAAUAUUUUGAAUUGUAUCCUUUUUGCCUAUAGUACACCAAACUGGAUGCAAAAUCUAAUGGGUGCCUGGCUAAUCAAAUUCAGUAAGAGGGCUAGUAGGCUCAUUGUUGUAGGGAUCGCUGCAGUACUAUAUAUGGUCGAUCUGGAAAUUGAGGAGAGCUUGCCUUUAUACUUCAUAAUGAUCCAAUUGAAGUUGUUUUUCAAGUUACUUACCACAUCUCCAAUUGAGCCAUGUUGCAGAGCAAGGAGGCAGGGGCAAGAAACCUUCAAGAAGGGGCCAGGCGUGAGCGAAAAGUGAGAUCUAUGGUGCUUACCAUGGAUGGAGCUUCAGAUCAAGGAGGUUGCAAUGCUAAGAACACAAAAGAACAAAGAGGCUGAUGUCUUGCUGAGGGUUUGUUGUGGCUAUUCUGAUUUCUUUCUGAAUGUAACAAGGGUUUUUGCCAAGUAGCUGUUGGGAACAAACUUUUUUGGUAGGUUGUGUUUGUAAUGGUAGUUGUCUAGAAACAUGAAAACUGCUAGUUACUCUCCCCUAACCAUGGUGGAUGAAACCUAGAAAAGAGGAGUGGUAAAGUUGGCGAGUUGGCGAGUUGUUAUGAACUUGGGUUACUUGUACCUUCUCAUUUUGCUUAGUGGAAAUAGGGGGUUUGCUCUCCUAGUUUUUUUUUUUGAACAAAAAAACUCAACUAAUAAGAUUCCUGGUGGUAAAACCAAUCCAGUCAUCAGAGAUGCUCAUAAAGUUAGUGGAUUGUGAAUCGACCAUGCACAGGUUCAAUACCCAUUAUCUGCUCAUACCAUUAUCCCAAAUUCCAAAAAAUGCAAUUUUUUUAACGGUCUAGUUACAUAUUUACUUACAGCAACGAGAGCAGGGUGUCAACACUGACUUUGUUAAUCAUAAAAUAUGUCGAACCAAUUUUCGAAGAUGCUUAUAAGAGUAAUAAGUUUAACAGUAGAGGUAGCUAACUAGUUGCGAUAAGUCAAUCUACGAUUUAACAUAUAUAAUAGAUUAUUCAUAAGGUUAUCUCUAAUUUUCUUCUCCUCUAUCUAUGUAAUUAAUGCAUUUGCUUAGGAGAAUGUAUAUAGCUAGCACUCAGCAUUUUCCUUGUUCUCUCUCCUCCACGAAAGUACUCCCUCCGCCCCUAAAUAUUUGACGUCGUUAACUUUUUUAAAACUGUUCGUCUUAUUCAAAACAUUUUAGUAAUUAUUAAUUCUUUUCCUAUCAUUUGAUUCAUUAUUAAAUAUACUUUUAUGUAUAUAUAUAGUUUUAUAUAUUUCACAAAAAAAAUUUCAAUAAGAUGAACUGUCAAACAUGUUUAAAUUUUAAAAAGUCUAUGGCGUUAAAUAUUUAGGGACGGAGGGAGUAUAUGGUUGGCCUACAUUCUAGUACUACUGAUGGGGCUACGUACAUGCACGUGGACGUUCAGGUAGACAAGUGCGCGCACAUUUACGUUUGCUGGCAGCUAUAAUGUGUUAUGAAAAUAGAUGCACAACGGAGAUACGAAUUUUUACGUGGAAAACCCUAGUGGAAAAAAACCACGGACGCCGACCGGCAAUGAUCACUAUAGAGGAAUUGGAUACAAACAUAGGGAUACAUUGGGCUGUGACACCCUCACCGUGCGGCUUACAAUAAAAUAUAUAUAGGAGAAAUCUAGAAGGCCGAGUGGAUAAAGACUUAGAGUCAUACUAGGAAACUAAUCCUAAUAGUCAAGUUCUAUUACGAAUUGGAGCAGGAAGAGAUCUUCGAAAAGUAGGUUUUUAUGAUCCGAUAAAGAAUCAAACUUAUUUAAAUGUUCCGGCUAUUCUCUAUUUCCUUGAAAAAGGUGCUCAACCUACGAGAACAGUUUCUGAUAUUUUAAGGAAGGCGGAAUUCUUUAAAGAAAAAGAAAGAACUUUGAGUUAAUUGAAGAACUAAAUGAAUAAAAAACUAGGAGAGGCUCACUAGUAUCCCUUGUUGUCUAACUAUUAGAAAUAAUUUGCCUCUUUCUUAAUCCUAUUUUUGACUGGAUUUAUGUCGUGCUAUUCCAAGAUAAGCCUUUAUUUUUUUGAGUUUUUCUAUCUAAUUUUUUUCUUACCAUUGUAUUUCCAUUGAAAAAGGUCCAUUGAACAUAAUCCGAAUAUAUUGUGGGUCCAAAAUUCGGAACACAUAUUUAGCAAUUCUCCACCUUGAGACGAAUUUCCCUUGUAGCAUAAAAAUCUUCAAUCUCCAAAUAACCUCACGUAUGAGAUAAAAUCACUGUGCGCCAAAUAAUCUCCAUGACUAUACUGUAACACCUUUGAUCCAGAAGAGGUAGAUCAUACUAAAAACUCGCCAUUGGGAACAAAUCCUGAAUUUAUUGGUAUGACAUUGUGGAACCCAAUAGAGACGCGAAACUGAUGCACAAACUUUAAACUGACCAUGGGAAUAAAACCAUGAAUCUGCUGGCAUUAAUUUCUGAAAUCCUAGCAGAAACACGAAAAAUUCUUGUGCUCGAAACGAAAUACUUAGAUCUCCUUAUUAACCUUCUGAUACGUUGGGCAAACGGACAUAGCAAUUCCGCCAGAAAUUUGACCACCUCCACGUGAUCUGGGCAGGAACCUUGAGGCUCCCUCUCGACGACUAAACUUGUGUGUCAUGAAAUAUGUAUGCGCAACUGAUAGACUGAAGUAUGUAUUAGCUUCUCCUCCAUAAUAGAUGUGCCAACUUGCAUCUUCAGUUGCCAUAAUGAGAAUAUUACAUCUCAAUCCAGGAGCGGUAGAUCAAACUUCACUCGCCUUAGGAAUAAAAUCCUUAAUCUGCUGGUAUAAUUUGGGGAACCCUAGUAGAAUCGCGAAACACUCUAGGUGCAAAAACGAAGUAAUUGGAUCUCCGUACAGAACCUCCUGGGAAACUUGGCUUUGUGAACCUAGCAAUUGAACUUGAAUUUGUAUUCCCCUGAACCGAACCAGAACAAUGCACUGGACUUGAUUUCCCGGCCGUGAAUGCCUAGCAAAAACAACGUGAAAUUGAAUGCACAUCAACAGAACAUAUGGCGAAGCCCUAACCUUGGUUAACUUGAUUUUCCUCGGUAGAUGGCCUGCGCUUCUACUGUAAAGAUUUUGACUCCACGUCUCCGCUUCCGUCUUGAUAUGAGUCUUGACGUCGAAACAUAUAUAUAAUUCAUCUGUCGAAUCCCGCUUUGGACGGCAGCAACUUCAUCUCUGGAACAGAUGAAUCAACCUCGUCGAAUAGAAUCGGCAGAACUCGGCCAGCUCACCGAACAGAUUAAACCUGCACGAUGACGAUCUCCACCGCAACUAGGUAGCAGAUCUAUCUCCCAAUCAAACGAACAACGACGCCGACGUGGAUGAUGAACACGGCAGCGGGGGAAUUGCGGAUCGGAUCUCCAACGCUCUGAUACCACUUGCUAAAAAAAUAGAUGCACAACAGAGACACGAAUUUUUACGUGGAAAACCCUUGCGGGAAAAAUCACGGGCGCCGACCGGCAAUGAUUACUAUAGAGGAAUUGGAUACAAACACAGGGGAUACAUUGGGCUGUGUCACCCUCCCCGUGCAGCUUACAUGAGAUAUAUAUAGGAUAAAUUUAGAAGGCCUAAUGGAUAAAGACUUAGAGUCAUACUCCCUCCAUCCCAAAAUAUUUGAUGCCGUUGACUUCUUUAAACAUGUUUGACUGUUCGUCUUAUUCAAAAAAUUUAAGUAAUUAUUAAUUCUUUUCCUAUUAUUUGAUUCAUUGUUAAAUAUAUUUUUAUGUAUACACAUAAUUUUUCAUAUUUCACAAAAAUUUUUGGAUAAGAUGAAUGGUCAAACACGUUUAAAAAAGUCAACGGCGUCAAACAUUUAGGAAGGAGGGAGUACUAGGAAAUUAAUCCUAAUAGUCAAGUUCUAUUAGGAAACUAAUUCGAAUAUAUUGUGGGCCCAAAAUUCGAAUCACAUAUAUUUAACUAAACAGUGUUUCCAAAAGAAAAUCGAUUUAAUAACACAUAAUCUAUCAUUAGUUAGAGCAGGUACAAUAACAGACUAUUAGCCAAGUAUAAACAUAUUUUAAUGAGAUAAAAGAUAAGAGAUAAAAGCAGCGGGCUAUAGAUUUGUAGCCAGCCACAACGCGGACUCCAAGACGCAAUAUGUGUAUGACAGAUGGGACCAUAUAUUAAUAGUAUAGUAAGCACCUAUUGUAUAAAUUGGCUAUUAGAUUGGCUAUAAAUAAAUUGAAGCUAGUAGUUGGCUAUACCAUAAAACUUAAACUUGCUCUUAGCACACUGCUACGUCGUGAUGCUGCCGCACGUACGUGUUCCUUGGUUGGUCUGGAUUGCAUCUCGGUACAUGCACGCUGCAUAUUGAUCUGCUAGCUGCUCCGUCUUGUGCGCACGCGCGCGUCACGUGCGCGCCGGCCACGAGGCCGGGGCGCUCGAUCGGCUCGCUGGUGGCGUCGUCGACGUCGGCCCUCGUGUCCGCGUGUCCACCGGCGUGCGUCGCGCGCAAGGUGUCGCUCGGUCUCCGCGAGAAAAUAAUCUCCCGGGUUCCUCGAGAUUCGAGGCCGCCUGCCUGCAGCGAAUCAGCCGACGGAUCUCGCGUGCUCGCGACUGGCGUGGCGUGGCAAGAUUCCGCGCGCCGCGCGCGGGGCGCCAGAACGACCAUGCGUGGCCGCCGUGGCUACAAAAAGCCGCUGCUAGCUAGCUCUCGCUCAGCUCAACAUUACAUCCGCGCGCUCCUUGUGUUUUCCGUUAUACCCAGGACUAGACCUUUCAUCGAGCAGCUGGUGUGCCGCCCGCUGCUAGCUCGUCGGCUCUGCUCUGAUUCACCACCACCACCGCCGCGGCGCGCGGCGACUAUCCGAUCUCCGCUGCUCGUCUGGCUUCUUCUAGGUGAGAGACCCCUUGCACCACACUGCCGCUGUUCGGUGGACGCCGGAGAGCUCCUGUGACUUCUCAUACUCCAUAUAACAUGUUAUUAUUGUGUUGUUUGGGCAGAUAGCAAUAUAUAUAGGGUUCAAUUCCUACCCCAAGCAUUUUAAAGCCAUGAAGAUUGAUCGCGAUUUCCACAUGAUGAAAGGGGAUGACGAGUUCAGCUAUGCCGAGAAUUCUAGGAUACAAGUUUGUACCAACCCUACCUUUAUUCUAUUUGUGUCCUUAUUAGUUGUUGUUUCAUUUAUCACAAGCUACACAUAUAUAUGCUGUCCUGGGAAAAAAUAUUAAGCAAUUUAUCUCCAACACUAUAGAUUGUACUCAGUAGUAAUAUAUAAAGAGAGCAUAUGGGAUAACUGCUAAUAAACAUUUGUUUGUACAUAUGUAGUACAUGUUGAGUAAAUUAACUAGAGUUAUGUGCCAAAUCGGCAACAGCACCACACUUUCUUCUCACUUUCACGUCGGAUGGAGUGGUAAUCGGUCUCACUUUUAAACCUACAAAGUUUUAGUUGUGCGAAAAGAAAGGUGGGCUAAAUUUUUGGAGAUUUUUUUUAUCUAAGAAUAUAUGUCGGCUAAAUUGGGUUGUGAAAGAUCCAUGGAUUGUGGUCCGUUACUACCCCUUACCGCGGAACUGCAUUAGAGUUGGAAAAUCCAAGAGUAAUAUUUCUUUGACAAUAAUUUUUGUUUUACUUUUUGCUCCAUAUCUUUUUAGAGAAGAGCUAUUCUUACAACCAGGCCAAUGGUCGAGAAAGCUGUAAGAGAAAUGGGCAGUGAUCUUCAUCCUCAAUCAAUGACCAUUGUUGAUCUAGGUUGCUCAUUCGGUGCCAAUACACUCCUCUUUGUCUCCGAUGUGAUCACCACAAUAUGUGAAAAUGGUAACAAUGCUAUCGAGGAGAGCGCCAUGGAGAUCUAGUUCUUCCUCAAUGACCUACCUAGCAACGACUUCAACCACAUAUUCCAAUCACUAGAGUAGUUUGAGCUGUUGACAAAACAACAUUUUACCUGCAGAGGGUUACAACCUCCUCCGUAUUAUGUUGCAGCUAUGGCAGGUUCCUUCUACACGAGGCUCUUCCCAAGCAACAGCGUCCAUUUCUUCCAUUCCUCCAUGAGUGUCAUGUGGCUCUCUCAGGUGAAGCUUGUUUAUAUAUGUCUCGUUGCAUAAACUUAAUUAGGACCUAACAUUCCUGACCUUUGGGGCUUUGUGUUUGCUGUUUGGAUAGGUCCCUGAAAAUCUCGAUGGCAGCAUGAACAAAGGGAAUGUUUACAUUGGGGCAACUACACCGCCAAUGGUGACAAAGCUCUACCAAAAUCAGUUUGAGAAGGACUUUUUGCAAUUCCUCCGGAUGCGAUGCAAAGAGAUCGUGCCCAGAGGCCGGAUGGUGCUAACUCUUGUUGGGAGGAGGAGCAAAGAUGUGUUCGAUGCAGGAAGGACGACCAUUGGUUUUGAGUUGCUUUCGCAGGUGUUGCGCACUCUUGUUGCUGAGGUAUAACUCACAUGAUAUGAGCGCCAUAUUAUUAUUUAAACCAUAAUGUUAUCCUUUAAUAGAAAAAAUCUCCAAGUGUACCAACUGCCAUAUUAGUAAAAAACCAAACACUCUAAAUACUUUUUCAAAUUUCUGGGAUGUGUGUUGGUACUUAAUCAAAUUCUUCAUGAAAAUCCAUAGCAUGUAAAAAAUAAUGUUAAACUAUGCCUAUGCUUGUUGACAAACAAGAAAUGUUUAAAUUUAUGAACAUAGUUGACAGAUAUUUCUUUUCAAAUAAAGUUGACUAUUUUAUUUCUUGCUUUUAUAUAUUGUGGUCUCUUAUUAUACUACUAGUAGAAAUAGGGCAAGAAACAAUCUGAUCCAUCGUUUUACAACGUCUCACUUCGUUGGACAUUGAUUUCAGUUAGAAGGGAAAUAAAAUCCAACUCAUACAUAUAUACAUACAGUCACUCGUACAUGGAAAAGCUAUACUCUUAUCACUUAUUUAAUUAAUUUGCAUUUUUCACAACAGGGUCGCGUUGAGAAGGAGAAGCUAGACUCCUUCAACAUACCAAUUUAUUGUGCUUCAGUUGAUGAACUAAAGCAGUUGGUGUGUCAUAACGACCUAAUUGACAUAAGUGACAUCCAACUCUUUGAGAUGGAUGGAAACUGCAUGGAUGACCCGGAGCCAGUAGAGGGCCCUGCUGCUGCUCAGGCCAUUGGACAGAGCACAUCUGCGACCCUAAUUAAGGGCGGCGACAGAGUCCCUUAUCGCAAGCCAUUUCGGGGAUUCUAUACUCGAUGAGCUCUUCACACUUUUCACGCGUUAUUUUACUAGCUAUAUUGAGAGUGAGGUUGAGAAGAGCACCAUCACAAUAAUCACACUGUACUUGCAGGUAAAACAUUAGUGUCAUCCCAGGUACUCUCCCUACGGUUGUUUCUACAUUUAAAGACCAUAAAUUUUAAACAAGGGAUUUGUUAGAGUAAAUUGAAGUAACGUGUAGUCUAAUAUAACAACUCAACAAGCAGACUAGCUUUUAAGUAUUAGUUGUUGUCAUGUGUGUCAAUUGGGGAUAUCAGUAUGCCAACUCGUGAUCGAACUGGUUUGGCUAUCUACAAUAUGCCAAGGGCUUCCCUCACCCGGUGGUUUGCCCUAUUUAUGAUCAAGUUGAGGAGUUUAUAAAACAUAUCAUGAUCAAUUGUGUUUUCAGCUGGCAAGUUUGGUCCUUAAUUUUACAAAGGCUGGGUUCUCCUCCACAUUACCGUACAAUGACACACUCAAAUUCUCUAGUUUGUGGGCAGAGGUAGUAAAAGUUUGUUUCCGACAGAGUUAGCUACAAUAUGUCAGAAUCUAAAGGAUAUAUUUGUAAUGGGAGGGGAUUUUAAUAUUACUAGAUGGGCACCCUACGUGUUAUUGCGGGAGAAUUGUGUGAUAAUAUAGUAUAUAUGAGUUCUAAAAUUUUCUUUCUUACCUACUAUACGAUUUUUUUAUAUGUUUAUAUAUUUUUGUACAUUUAUCAAUUAUCCAGAGGUUAUAAAUCAUUGGGUUGGAUGGUUUGCCUUUUAGGAAGAGAUGCAAUCUAUACCCUUGAACCUUGAUGAAUCAUCGAAUGGCUAAAAAUAAUUGAGGUGAUAUGAAGAGAUGCAAUUUACACCCUUGAUGAAUCAUCCAAAGACUAAAAAUAGUUCAAUGAAAUGCUCAUGGUCAAGAAGGAGAGAAUCCUCAAAUACUUGGUGUAAUUUGUUCCCUGUCACAGUUGAUUUCAUUGUUUGGUUUUGUAAUUCUCAGUAGGUACAGAACUUCCAAUUAACAAAUACAUAACUUCCAAUUAACAAAAGUGACCAGGAACAAGUUCAUGAAUCCAUCAGCCUUGUAGCGGUGUGUCAUCUAGGUCCUUAAACUCUCAAAAUGCAUAUCCAAGUCCCAGAAUUUAUCAUAGUGUAUCAUCUAGGUCCCAAAUCGCCACAGCCCCUUCAGUAUCCUACGCGGCGCUGAUGUGGCAUGUCACACGGAUAUGACAUGGCAUAAUUUUGACUGACAAAUGAGACCCAUUUAAAAAUUUUCUUUUUUUUCUUCUCUGGUAUUUUCCUUCUCAUUUCUCUGUGACCUGAGCAGAAAAAAGGAAAAAAAAGAAUGAGAAGAAAACGAAAACGGAAAAGAAAAAGGAAAGAAGAAAAAAAAGACACAUCACGUCCAUGUGGCAUGUCACAUCAGCGCCACGUAGGAUCCACGAGGGGUUAUAUCGAUUUAGGACCUAAAUGAAACACUUUGACAAGUUCUAGGACCUGGAUAUGCAUUUUAAGAGUUUGGGGACUUAGAUGACACACCGUUACAAGUUUAAGGACCGUCUGUGCACUUUACUCUAUUCUCUAUGAGCUGCAACUGUGGUUACAUGGAGCAGGAAAGUUUCAUCGAUCUAUUCAAAUUUAUAAGAAUAUAUAAAUUAUGCUGUCCUCUAUCUGUAAGAACCCUUUGUUACCAAAAGAUAUCGACCUGGCAGUUGGAACCGUAUGUUGUGAACAAGUAGGAGCACUAUCCUGUUUACACCUCUUAAUGCUGUUUUGCUGUUGUCAUAGCAAAGGAAUGUGGAGGAGCACAUACUAGCUGCUAGAUCACAUGUCUCUAAUCUUUUGAGCAUAUAUUUCGGGACCCCAACUAGGAUCCCUCUGUGUAUAAUGUGCUAGUCCCAGAUCAACGCUAGCACACACAGUAACAAAAGAUAAUAUCACAACUGUUGACGGUCGUUAUCGAUCAGUUUCGACCGUCAAUAUGACCAAAAUAGAGGAGAACUAGUGAUGCUUGCAAUGCAUAAUGUUGUUAGAAUAAUAAUAUUCCACUAGUAUUAGGUCUACUAACCGUUUGCAGAGAAUGACAAUAAAGUAGAGGAUAAUCGACAUCAACACAAAUGAUAAAUCAAUCGGACGAUGUCGAGAACCAGACUUAAGUAUCAAUAGGCCAAGAACUCAGAAUUGACACGAUGAAUUGGGCCAAAAUUCACAAGUCUGCGGAGUGGAGCAAUAGAGAAAGUCGCCAGCCGAAGAUGGGCUGGUUUAGGACAGCCCAUGGUUCGGUCGAACCAGGGGGUUCGGCUGAACCCCCAUCUCUACCGUUGAGGCCAGGGCUUGGCAUGGACAUCCAAGAUUGCACCCCAAUGACGGUUGGAGGGUACUUUGGACAAUUCCCCUUCCACAACCGUCAUACCUACCUCUAUAUAAGGAGCUCACUCUCUUCACUUCAACACACACCUCAAGCAAGAGCUCUCUCAUUCCUCUCAAGUUUAGUUUAGUAGUAUCUAGCUGGUGGAAUAGAAUUAGAAUAGGAAUCAGGAGUCCGGAAGCCUUCGGAAGAGUUCGGGUAUGGCUCUAGUAGCUUUCCUUUCCUCUUUUGUAAGCUUUGUACUUUUAUUAGAAUACUCUUCUAAAUACAUUUCUAGUAUUGAAAUACUUUACGACUAUAUGAGUACCUACUUUACAUUAUGUUCAUGUUGUACUGAAUAUACUGCUAGCCUAUCUGGGAGAUGCUUUGGUGCGGGUAUAGUGUUUGCUUAUACAAUUACUCUAUGUCAUGACGAUGAUAUUAGAGUAGUAUCUGGUAGUUUAGACGUGGUGUCUAGAUUACGGGAUAUCAUUAUUUGGGGUUAUAUAUUGUGGAUGAGAGGUGGGCCGCUGAUGGUGACAGCUCAAUACGGGUAUUCCUCCGCGCCUAUAUAUAAUCCUAAGUUAAUUUCCUAGGGAGGGUACUCCUCCGUAUUUAGCCCCGGUUGGAUGGUCAUGACGGGCUGUCGUAAGGAACUCGGCAGUCAGGGGUGGCUUCUCGAAGUACCAGGAGGGCAUCGGAUCGAGGGUAUUAGCUAGUAUAUCAGUUGACUAGAAUGUAUGUAUACUAUGUAUAUUAGAAGUAUAGAAAUAAAUUUUUUUUAUCUUUUCUUUCCACCUAGCUUAGAUUAUUUACUAUGAGGAUAAGUAGAAAUGCUUGUGUGUCACUCUACCCUUGGAUUAUCUUAACCCCUACUUAGAAUAUGAUUAUCACAAGUAGUAUAUAAAUUAUUAGUUAAGUUCUCUCUAUAUGAUCUUCCCACGGGAUAAAAUAAAUAUGAUACCCUUAGAAUACUCUUGGGUGAAGUGCUACAAUGGUAUAUCCGUGCGCUUGCGGAUGAACUCUGUAACCAUAAUAUACCAGAAGUAUUUCUGCGCCAUUGCUGGGAAUUAUAUUUCUAGUAAUAUCAUUAAGAAAUACCAACAAGCAUUUCUGGCGCCGUUGCUAGGGAAGAUUCAUAAUAGAGAUUACUUAAACUAAUACUUUAUAUUUACCUAUGUAUAGUCAUUUUCCUUUGCAGGCUGACCUUGGUUGUUUUCACUUUUUGUCGUGAAAACAGGGUAGUGUAUGACUGGUUUCAACCUGCCGGAAAACUUCAAUGAAAAUCCAGAAGCUUUCUUCCGGAGUGUCAGGCCGCGAGUCAUUGCUCCGCAGAAAACUCUACCGACAGAGAAACCAGCCGUAUUAGCGCCACCAACCUUCAAGACAAUGGCCAGCAAGACUCUUCGCGAGUUUGCUGCUCCCUCUGCUGACAAUGUGGCCGUCGGGCCGCAAGUCAACAUAGGAGAUGUGGAUUUCGACUUGAAGUCCAGCCUCAUCACGAUGGCGCAGGCUAGCCCUUUCUGUGGCAAGCCUAAUGAGGAUGCCAACGCUCAUCUGCAACAUUUCCUAGAGAUAUGCAGUACGUACACCAUCAAGGGAGUCAGUCCUGACGCCGUCAGGCUGCGGCUGUUUCCGUUCUCUCUCCUCGGGAGAGCGAAGCAGUGGUUCUAUGCCAACCGUGCUGCUAUCAACACCUGGGAUAAAUGCUCUACGAUAUUCCUCUCGAAGUUCUUCCCGAUGGGCAAAACCAACGCCCUUCGUGGACAAAUUUCCAGUUUCCAGCAACAAGGGAUGAGUCCAUUCCGGAAGCAUGGGAACGACUACAGGAGUACGUGGCCGCCUGUCCUCAUCAUGGGAUGGACGACUGGCUGAUCCCGCAGAACUUUUACAAUGGGCUCACCCCGAUGUCCCGCGAUCACCUGGACGCGGCAGCUGGAGGAGCCUUCUUCUCUAAAACGGUUCAAGGAGCCAUUGAACUCAUAGAGAAGAUGGUCUCCAAUAUGGGCUGGAGCGAGGAACGACAACAGACCCGUCAGCGAGGCAUGCACAUCGUCAAGGAGACGGAGUUACUUGCUGCCAAGCUGGACCUCCUCAUGAAAUGCUUGGACGACCAUGAGAAACGGCCACAAGGCACCAUCAAGGCCUUGGACUCACACGUCACAUGUGAGGUCUGUGGCGGCAUGGGUCACUCUAGGAACGACUGCCCGGAAACCCGUGAGCAGGCGAUGUACAUGGGCAACAACAACGGUUACCGUCCACAAGGAGGUCAGGGGUGGAACCAACCACGCCCAUAUUAUCAAGGAGGUAACAAUAAUGGUAACUUCUCUAACCAACCCUCCUUGAAGGAUCUUGUUUUCGCGCAAGCUAAAACCACUGAUGCGCUAUGUAAAAAGCUUGCUGCCAAUGAUAAGAUCUUAGAGAACAUAAAUGUCAAGCUAGAUGGCUUAGCUUCCGCAUUUCAAAACUGGCUGAGCUUUAACAAGAUGAUAGAAACCCAGUUAGCUCAAUUGGCAUCUUUAGUCCCUGCAAAUGAAUCCGAGAGGAUUCCGGGGCAACCCGACUCAUCCAUUGAAAAUGUUAAGGCAAUCACGACGAGGGGAGAUAAGUCCACUCGUGAUCCACCGUAUCAUAACCCUGCAGGAACUAAUGGGAUGUCAAAAGAAACGCCAUCAAGGAGAUUCAGCCAGAGAAGACCGUGCCGUAGGAGUACCGCGACACACGGCUGCUGCCAUUCCCUCAGCGGAGUAGGAAAUCGUCAGUGGACGAGCAGUUAGCUCGUUUUCUUGAAGUAAUCCAGAAGAUCCACAUCAACGUGCCAUUAUUGGACGCUAUGCAAGUACCAACAUACGCCCGUUAUCUCAAGGACAUACUCAACAACAAGAGACUGCUCCCAACAACGGAGGUGGUCAAGCUGACGGAACACUGCAGCAACCUGAUACUCCACAAGCUCCUGGAAAAGAAGAAAGAUCCGAGGUGUCCCACGAUCACCUGCUCGAUCGGGGCACAACAAUUCAACCAGGCCUUGUGCGACCUUGGAGCCAGCGUCAGCGUCAUGCCAAAAGACGUCUUUGACAAACUCAACUUCACGGUGUUGGCACCAACACCGAUGCGCCUCCAACUGGCUGACUCGUCAGUCCGUUACCCGGCAGGGAUAGCGGAGGAUGUGCCAGUCAAGAUACGGGAUUUCUUCAUCCCGGUUGACUUUGUGGUGCUAGACAUGGACACGGCGAAGGAGACGCUGCCCAUCCUGGGGCGUCCAUUCCUUAGCACCGCAGGAGCCAACAUUGACGUGGUAACGGGGAGUAUCCAUUUCCAUAUCAACGGGAUGGAGGAAAAGUUUGAGUUUCAACCAAGGACGGAACAAUGCUCCAUGGUCAGAAUCAAGUACGGGCCAAACCCGUAGAACAUUCAAGAGGUCGAAGUGGAGCCACCCAAGACGGAUAGCCUGGUAAGGUUCAUCCAGAAUUUCCUGGAAAAGGAAACAACAAUGCCCAGGAACCGUUAUUGGAGGACGCCGGUAAAAUCACCUGUACCGGCCAAGAAGUCAGAGUAGCCGACUCAGAAGAAGCCGUCUUCUGCACCGAAAUCAAAGAAGGUGUGGAGGAAGAAGCCAAAGACGCCCGCUCCAUCACCUCCGGAGACGGGUGGAAAAUCCGUGAACUGAAUCAGAAGGAGGUACGGUCUUGCACGUCGGACUUUAAAUGACGCGACCUUCGCUAACAGGUAAAUUGGUAUGUAUCUGCAUAUUUGUUUUCUACAAUUUGAAUUUUUGCAUCACCACAUGUUUGAAUUUCAAAAUUGCAUUUAGGACUUUUGGAUUUUGAGGAAAUUCUUCAAAUGAAUUUUUCAGGGCAAACAAAAAUUAAAUUUUCAACUAAAAUUCACAAUGCCACGACCACACUGACCGUUGGAUUCCAACGGCCGAAAGUGGGGCCGGGCCAGUUGGGCCCACUAGGAGUUCGGCCAAACACCCUGGUUCGGCCAAUCUAGCCAAGCAACGGUUACCUGCCAUCUUUGGCAGGGUAACGGCUAGUGGGUCCCACAUGUCAUUUCUGACCGUUGUGAGUACCCUAUAAAAGCCACGAGAGAGAGAAUUCCACCCCAUUUCAACACAUUUUCAUUCUCUCUCCAAAGUUUGCUCUCAAGUUCAUUUAUGCUUUGAUAGUUUUCCGCAAGUUCAAAUCUUUAGUUGCAUAUAUACAAGUUGCUUUAGUGAAACUAACGGGCGGGUGAAACUCUUGUCAUUUCUAACCCCCGCUGAGUUAGUCUUGCUCCAUUGUGCAGUAUGAGGAGGCGACUGUCUCGUCUGUUCAAGGGGUCGGGCUCUCCAUCAAGUCGUUAUGACGAGUCUAGUACUCGUUCAUCAGCCGAUGUCUCGAUGGAAGAUGCCGACGCUCCACGACAACUCCUAAGCGACGCUGACCUUGACCUUGUCAGUGAUCGGGAGAGACAAGCCUACUACAUGCUGAGCGACCGGGAGUAUGCUCACACGCGAGAAUACUCACCAGAGUUGCUGAAAAAGAUAGGUAUGGAUGUUGAAUUUUGUUCUAUUUGGAAAGCUGUUGGUUGGCAGAGAUUUGCUGUGGUAGAUGAGCCCGGUUCUCGUUUGCUUACUUUGCAAUUUCUGUGCACUUUGAAAGAAAUAGAAGAUGGUAUUUCUUUUCGCUUUUUCCGUAAAAAGUUCACGCUCACAUGGAAGGGCUUGAGUACACUUCUUGGUUUUCACGAUUCCUGUAAAAUCGAUACCCAGAAAGGAAUUUCUGGGUUCGAGAAAAAUAGGUUUUGGGAAGAUAUUUCUGGUGCUCCAAUUUGCAAGAAACCUAGAACGAAUAAUAUCCAUAAUCCUACACUUAGGCUCAUGCACAAAUGGAUUGCUAUGAUUUUGUUUCCUAGAAGUGAUCUGAGACCCAUCAUGGGAGAUGAAUUAAUUAUCAUGUUUGCCAUGGUUAGAAAUAUCAAAAUUUCUCCUAUGAAAUGUAUGAUAAGACAAUGGUUAGAAAGUAUAAAGUUCUCCACUCCUAUUGAGUGCACUUCUCUGAUUACUCGGAUAGCAAAAGGGCUAGGGGUCGUUAGCGACCAGAUUGUUUUUAUCUCAGCCGCUCGUCCGCAUAUUGAUGAGGCUUAUCUAGUGCAAGGGCAUAUUUUGAAACAUGGAGUAGAUGGAUCUUUGAUAUACUUUUUCUCCGGUUCUACAAAUGAAAUCCCGUUGCCAAAUGCGGGGUAUCAUUUGUACAACUGCCAUGAACUAACCAUUCCCAUGCAGACCAAAGAAGAAUCUCGUGCAGGUGGAACAUACAGGGAGACGCAGCAUGACAAGGAACGAAUAAGGAAGUUCAUCAUCCUCGACACCCGUGUAGAUGUAUGAGGCAGGUUUGGCACCAACUGAGGAUGCACCCGGAUGGACCCAAGCUCCACGCCAUAGCAUCGGAGUCUCAACCUGGUCAAGCGCUAGUGAGGACCGGUGGCAUGUGCCUCAUGACAUUCACUAGGGGGACAACCAACCCUCCAGGUCAAGUGGUGUGCCUCCAGCUCCAAGUGAAUGGUGCUCGAGUUCCUCUCAUUAGGACUUGGGUGAAAUCACUAGGAGAAUGGACACCCUUGAUGUGCAGACUGUCGAGAUCCAGUACGACCUCAUGGAACACAUAGCUCAAACGCAAGAAUGGCAAGAAUCUGCUGAUGCUCAGUUCGCCAACAUCAACAACAUGAUGCAGCAACAGCACGAUGACCUUCAAGCGUACUUUCGCUUUCAGGGGUUCAAUCCUUAUCAAGGACCCUGAGCGAAGGCUAAGCUUGGGGGGAGACAUCGCUCCCCCCACUAAGGUAACUUGUAUCACAUUGCAUAUUUCCCUUCCCAAUUGCAUAUUUGCUUUCCAAUUGCAUCUGAUGAAAAAUGAAAACAACAUAAAAAUUUGCAAAAUAGAAAAUACCAAAAUGAUAGGAUAUGUUUGAGUCAUGCUAGGUAAGACAAGUUAGUUCUCUUUGUUGAAAUGAUGAAUAGUUGCUCUGUUUUAUAUCUCUGAUAUAUGGGUUCUUGGUAAGUGCUCUCUCAAAGAUUGAAUAUAAGUAGCCAAUAAUUAUCCGGAAACCUGAGGUAAAUGGGCUGCACUUGCUAAUCUCAGUCUAGGUUGUUGCGAGAUAUGAGAUAGUAAAUAUGAGUAGCUAUGACCUUGAUACUAGUUUGGCUUGAAUUCCGGAUGUUUUUUUUUUCAAAAUGAAAAAAAAUUGAAAGUUCCUCAUUUGAUAUAAAUUCCUACCAGAGCCAAGAAUGUGCUAUCAUGAUUACACCAUAUACAUUUUGGUCACUUGCUAUUCCAUUGAACUUUGUCAAACUCUUGUGACUUGUGUAGAUACUUCUCAUGCUCUGUGAUCAAGAUCAUACACCCACAUAUAUGCACAUGCUAAAACUCCUACACUAGGAGCUAAGCAAUAUUCCAUUCCAUAUCCAUAUUUCCACCGAAAUAAGUUCUCCAUGCUUUCAUGUGCUUUCUUCUCCUAAAAAGAAAAAAUCCUUUUGAAAAAAAAGAAAAAAAAAGAGGAGGGAAAGGCAUGGUUAUGAAAAAAAAGUUAUGCUCCAUCAAGCAUAAGCAUGAUUGAAAAGAAAAAAAAUGUAAUCAUGCCCUCUCCUAAUCAAUAAAAGAAGGAUUUUGGGGAGAAGAAAGUAAGCACAAAGGAGAAGCAUUUUCUUCAUUUUCUUCAUACACCAUUUUCCACCUUAUACCACACACACAUUAUGCACGAUCUUGAUUCUUGAGUAUGUUUAGUUAUCUGCUUUAGUCUAAGAUUUUAACUUAGUGACAAAUGUGAAUGCAAGUAUGCCAUGCUUGAUCCCUACCAAGCUCCACAUAUAAACUUUAGAGUAGGAAUCAUCAAGGCAACAUUUAGUGAGGAAUUCAAAAUGAUACACUUAGAGAGACUGAGUGAAUCAAUGGAGGAACUUGGUUUUCUUUUCUAAAAUCAUUUGAAAACUUCCGGAAUAAGAGUUGAAUAAACAUUGGGUGAAUUGGUGCUCUAAUUGCUGUUCUGUCUUUCAACCGCCCAAGGCAAGUAGAAGCAGUGUCUCGUGGGAAUCGGGGUAAGGGUAAGCCACCGUGCCAAAAAUUAUUUAAUUUGAGAGAGAGUACAUAUACCUUGCACCUGUAUCUUUGAGAUAUGCAGCAUAGUAGCAACUCCUGAUCAACAACCAAGUCUUAGUUUCCUUUCGUCCUUCACUCGGGACGAGCAAAGGUUCAAGCUUGGGGGGUUUUGUUGACAGUCGUUAUCGAUCACUUUCAACCGUCAAUAUGACCAAAAUAGAGGAGAACUAGUGAUGCUUGCAUUGCAUAUGUUUGUUAGAAUAAUAAUAUUCCACUAGUAUUAGGUCUACUAAUCUUUUGCAGAGAAUGACAAUAAAGUCGAGGAUAAUCGACAUCAACACAAAUGAUAAAUCAAUCGGACGAUGUCGAGAAUCAAACUUAAGUAUGAAUGGGCCAAGAACUAAGAAUUGACACGAUGAAUUGGGCCAAAAUUCACAAGUCUGCGGAGUGGAGCAAUAGAGGAAGUCGCCUGCCGAAGAUGGGCUGGUUUGGGCCAGCCCAUGGUUCGGUCGAACCAGGGGGUUUGGCCGAACCACCAUCUCCACCGUUGAGGCCAGGGUUUGACAUGGACAUCCAAGAUUGCACCCCAAUGAUGGUUGGAGGGUACUUCAGACAAUUCCCCUUCCACAACCGUCAUACCUACCUCUAUAUAAGGAGCUCAACACACACCUAAAGCAAGAGCUCUCUCAUUCCUCUCAAGUUUAGUUUAGUAGUAUCUAGCUGGUGGAAUAGAAUUAGAAUAGGAAUCAGGAGUCCGGAAGCCUUCGGAAGAGUUCGGGUAUGGCUCUAGUAGCUUUCCUUUCCUCUUUUGUAAGCUUUGUACUUUUAUUAGAAUACUCUUCUAAAUACAUUUCUGGUAUUGAAAUACUUUCCGACUAUAUGAGUACCUACUUUACAUUAUGUUCAUGUUGUACUGAAUAUACUGCUAGCUUAUCUAGGAGAUGCUUUGGUGCGGGUAUAGUGUUUGCUUAUCCAAUUACUCUAUGUCAUGACGAUGAUAUUGGAGUAGUAUCUGGUAGUUUAGACGUGGUGUCUAGAUUACAGAAUAGCAUUAUUUGGGGUUAUAUAUUGUGGAUGAGAGGUGGGCCGCUGAUGGUGACAGCCCAGUACAGGUAUUUCUCCGCGCCUAUAUAUAAUCCUAAGUUAAUUUCCUAGGGAGGGUACUCCUCCGUAUUUAGCCCCGGUUGGAUGGUCAUGACGGGCUGUCGUAAGGAACUCGAUAAUCAGGGGUGGCUUCUCGAAGUACCAGGAGGGCAUCGGAUGGAGGGUAUUAGCUAGUAUAUCAGUUGACUAGAAUGUAUGUAUACUAUGUAUAUUAGAAGUAUAGGAAUAGAUUGCCUUUCUCUUUUCUUUCCACCUAGCUUAGAUUAUUUAUUAUGAGGAUGAGUAGAAAUGCUUGUGUGUCACUCUGCCCAUGGAUUAUCUUAACCCCUUCUUAGAAUAUGAUUAUCACAAGUAAUAUAUAAAUUAUUAGUUAAGUUCUCUCUACAUGAUCUUCCCACGGGAUAAAAUAAAUACGAUAUCCUUGAAAUACUCUCGGGUGAAAUGCUACAAUGGUAUAUCCGUGCGCUUGCGGAUGAACUCUGUAACCAUAAUAUACCAGAAGUAUUUCUGUGCCAUUGCUGGGAAUUAUAUUUCUAGUAAUGUCAUUAAGAAAUACCAACAACAACCACAUCACAAUUAUGUUAAUAAAUAGGAAACAAAUAUAAAUUUUACAUUGGUCUUAUGACCAGAUUUUACAAUUUCUUUCCACACAGGGCCAAACAAAGAUAAGCAGCGGAAAAAGAAUCGAGAGGCACCAAUGAGACAAUCGACUGUGGCACGCAACCUAUUCGACAUCCUCAGCAACAGAACUUCUGGAAACAACUGACCUUCUCUGAAAUUUUGUGAGACAACAAGGGUAAGUACAUAAAGUACUCCCAAGUGUACGGGAAUAUGCAAUAUAUGAUACAUGGCUUCAAAGGAAGGUUAGGGUUCAUUUGCAUAAAGGCAUUUGAGAACUUAAAUACAAUAAAUGGAUACAAAUUUAAUUUAAACAACAUUUGCAAUCACGGUAUUUUUAACCAACCAACCAACCCAAAAAGGAUAUUGCGUCCACACAGGACCACACAGCUAUAUUCAUUAAUUUAUCCUGCACACAGCUCUUUCCCAAAAGUAAAACUUUCACAAAUCUACCCCUCAUGUGAAAUCACCGAGCAUGUCCAUAACCGAGGACGCGGCUAUUCGAAUAGAUUAACACUCUGCAGAGGUUGUACAACUUUACCCACGAGAUACAGUUCGGUGCCGCUAAACACCAAAGAGUAACAAAGCGUUUCCUCUACCUCACCCUAACACCGGCUUCCCCAUGGGCGGUCCUCCCAUCACCACACAGGUGAAAGGUCCCAUGUACAAUCCAAAAACCUAUCAUCUAGCCACCUGGGCCGUCGGUGCCAAAGCUAAGUAGUGUACUAAGCUAGGUCCUUCCCAUGAGGACAUGUGGUUGCACGGUAAGACUCAGAUCAAUGGCGCACGAAGUGAAGUCCUUAUCUGACCAGGGCGACUUGCCUAAACUAAGGACCUCAAGCACACAGCAAAAAUGGAGCACAUAGCUCAAUCGACCACAUAGGUCAACAGUAAGCACGCAUACAGAUGGCUUACCUCCUAGGUUCACACAGAUCCACCAUCGCCCUGGUCUAAAACAUUUUCCACCAGAUCAUUACUACACGGUGCAACACAUGCCACCAAGAAGAUAGCACACAACCACACAGUUUAUAUAAAAAAACAGUGAUAAGUAGAUCAUUAGUCAAUAUUAUAUUUUGCCUUGUAAAAGUGUGAGCAGGGCUAAGCAAAUCUACUACCCUGAGCCAAUACCCCAUGUUUGACUCUCAUACAGUCUAGGUGACAAAUAAUCAAGGAUAAUCAACAAUAAUUCAAGGCAUGGAAUAAUUAACAAGUAGGUUAUAACUACCCACACAAUAAUUUGUAAAACAAAACAAUGCAUAUAAUUUAAAACAAGAUAAUUUUUAAAGUUGGGAUCAACAUGUUCAAGGGUACACUUGCUUUUACCCACGGGAUCUUCAGGAUCUUCAGACUGAACCUUCACCUGCAACAGCAACCUCCUCAGCAACAACGUCUACACGAUCGCAAAAAGGAGAAAACAAAUAAACAAAAAGAAAAGGCAGCAAAAUAACAACAAAUGAAAUAACCAAUUAAAUCAGGAGGUAGAGCUCAAUUUUAGAAGAAUUUAGGAAAAAGAAUGGGCCGAAUCGGAGUUUGGAUGAAAGAGAUGUGACCUCCGGAAGAUUGAAUUAUUGGAAAACCAUGAAUAAAGAAAGAGAAAUAUUUAGAAAAUAUUCUCUGGAAUUUCUGAACCUAAAGGAUUAUAUUUGACGGACUGGCGGGCAUGGUCCACUUGCCGGUAGGAUGACCUACGGUUAAUUGGUUACAAGGAGGAGAGUUGUGGACCAAUUACGUGGAUGGCUGAGAUCUAUUUGUUGAGAUAGAUGACUUGAUUGGUUUUGGGUUUUAGGAUGCUAGCCUGACCAAGACGCAUGUGACGUGGUGCCACACAAAAUGGAUCUCAUGAACGUGACAACAAUGAAGCACCGGAUUGAAGUAGGGUGAAUCAAAAGCACAGCAGGCUAGAAGACGACGUCGGGUUCAUGAAAGAUAGCAGCAGCGGUGGUGAAGGCUAUGGAGUUGAAGCGCAGCGGCAAGGCGAUGGCAUGGUGGAGCUCGACCUCUUGGUGGCAGGGAGACAUGGAGUAGUAGGGGAAAGACGAGUAGUGGCAGCCACAUGGCAUGGACUACUCCAGUGUAGAAAACAGGGAUGUCGGUGCAGUGAUUUAGGAAUGGAACCGUGAUGACCACAGCAGACAAGUGGUAGGAACGGCGGAUCGUUAACGGUGAGGUGGUUUCACCGGCAGACAAUAGCAACUUGACAAGAGACCGUGCUGGAGGCAGGGAAGACAAUGGAAGAGGAGGAUAAGAGCAGUGGUGCUGCUAGAGCCUUGAAGCUUACCAACCGCAGUGGCAUUCAUAGGAACGUGAUGGCGAUGGAGACCAUGACAACACUAUGCUCCAGCAAUGACUAGGGAGGAGAAGACAGCAACAACGACUCGAAGUCUCAGGUUCAGUGGCAGCAAAUAAAACAGCAGCAGUGCUGGUGUUCGUUCACCCGAGACAGUGGUGAUGUAGACGACGGUGUAGCAUCACGGCAGCAAGACGAGGUGUCUGGGCGUGCACGAAUAAAAAAAAAGAAAGAAGAGGGGCAGUGCUGCUGGUCAAGGAAGUCAGAGUAGAGAGCAUCUCAGCAUGCACAAACAAAAGAAAAGGAUGACAGUGGCGCUGGUAUAUAUAAAGAGGAGGAAAUGGGAGAUGAACAGCCAGUCGGGAGAUGGAGAGAUGGUGAAAACAGAGCUAACCGAUGAAUGGUGAUGGUGAUUUAGUUUUUGAUAUUCAAUGAAGCAGAAUGUGGUUGAGGUGAAAGUGCUUACCAACCAUGUCAGAGUUGUGGCAGCAAGAUGCUCGUGCGACAAUAAUGGCAGAAACUCACGAGACGUCGUUGCAGCAGCUGAUCUGAUCCACUGCAUUGCUCGACCUCCCAAGUAUUAUGGCAGCGCUAAAAACAGGACGGUGAUAGAGGUUAUGGAAGAAGAGUGAGCAUGAUGAUGUAAAGCUCGACAUCCCGGCGAUGAUAGCUUUGAUUUGCUGGUUGGUCAGGUUUCUUGGGCGCAGCAGUGUGGAGCAGAGAGGCGAUGAUCCCAGCGUGCAUGAGCAACAGAAAAAUAUGGCAGUGACCUUGGUAGAAUUUUUUUGAGAAUUAAUAUUAUUUUUAUGGAAAAUCGCAAAAGUAGUGGCCAACCGGGAAAAAUCGCGAAAGUAGGUCCCUGUCGAACGGGUGCAAUUCGAUAGGGCACCUAUCGAACGACGGGCAGUCGACAAAGCCCUGUCGAAUGGCUGGCGUUCGACACGCUCACCUGUCGAACGGAGGGAGUUCGACAGGGCCCACCACCCGGCGCCGCGAGGCCUGUCGAACCGGGGGCGUUCGACAGGGCCCUCCACCGACCCUGUCGAACAAUGGGCGUUUGACAGGCCGGUUUAAAGCCCCAUCCACCCAGGCCGCGAGUUCGAUUUGUUUUGAGGACCACAUCGCCAGCCGCCGCCGAGAGUCGCCACUUCGUCGUCGUGAGCGCCGGAGGGAGCGAGGGGAGGGGAUAGCAGGCCAGAGAGGAGGCCGAGGAGGCGCCGGCCGGGAGGAAAGGGUUGGCGACACCCUCCAGCAGUGAAGUUAAGGUAUACAUUAGUAAUCCCUAAGUACAAUGCAUAUGAAAGUUUAAUAAAAAAUUGGUUUAAGAGUUGUUGAUUGUUUCGCAUUGUUCGAUGUUAGUAUGUAUGGUUAGCACAUAUUUGUUAUUGCUAAAUGUUGGUAGAGGUAUUUAAGUAAUUGUACGGUUAAAUUAGUUCUUAGUUAGUACAUAUUAUUGAUAUGUUGUGUGUUAAAAUAGGUACAAAGGUGUUAUAUUUUAUUUGGAUUAUUAAACUAGUUGUUUGUUACUAAUAGUUGUAAAUUAGUACACGGCAAUAUAGUAUAAGUUGUAAUAGGGUAAUUAUCGAAUGAUUAAAUGAUUAAACGUGAGACUAUUUGUCAUGUUUUAUCAGGAUGUCAGGUGAUAUGCCCAUUCGUCUGUAUUAUGGCGAUGCUCCUAUACAAAUAUGUGAUAGUGGGGUGGAUUUGACUGUAUAUGUCUUCCAUGAUACUAGUCUGAAUGCACCGGAGCAUAUGGGUUUGAACGACGUGUUAGGGUGGUUGUAUAAUAUGUUUGGGGUAGAUCCAGUGCACGAUAAAUUUGUCAUAAAUGCCGUGUGGCCAGUGAGGGGUCAACAUGGAUGGCAGUGGAGAGUAGUGGAGGUUGCGUCAACUGGGAGUUGGAGGAAGUUUGUUAGUAAAAUAAGGGAGAAAGGCUAUAGCCUGGCAAUAGUGGUGCAGAAGACAACAUGUGUUGAUCGAUCGGGGGAGUCAAGUCAUGCCGUGGUGGAAGAAACUCCGUUGGAAGGUGGACAAGCUGAAAAUGUUUGGCGGACUGAGCAAGAUCGAGGGGAAGAAGUAGUAGAGGGUAAUACACAAGGAGAGGUCAUUGUUCGUGGUACUAAUUGUGAGGCCAACGACUCGGACGAUGAAGAACCGGAUUCGCCUAUGCGUGUUGAUGCAGCGGAGGAGAAUGAGGCGGUAGUGGAUCAGAUGGAAGUGGAAAACGAGGAAUACCUUGCGCUUGUAGUGGAAGGAGAAGAUACAACACUGUGGGACAACGAAACUAACAUACCCGAUGAUUGGACGACCAUAUCAAUGAGUCGUAUGAAGGUAAACGAUGGUUUAGAUGCCCACUGGUGUUAUGAUAGUAAGCAGGUGAAAGUUGGACAGAUGUUUCAUGACAAAGGUCACUUACAAGAUGCGGUGAAGAGGUGGGCAUUUGUCCAGAAGCGUGAGUUCAGGGUGAAGGUUUCAAAUAGGACGACGUAUGACGUGAAGUGCAUACAGGGUGGAUGUCCUUGGAGAGUGCAUGGUUACAAGCCACAACAUGAUACUUUAUGGGUAGCUUUGAGGGUUGAGCAACAUACGUGUUUGUUGGAGAAUACCCGUCUGGUGCACAGAAACCUGACAGCGGCAUUUGUGGCACAAAUGGUAUAUUCAAAGGUGGUUAGAAAAACAUCUUUGUCCCCUUUCACCAUAAUGCAUGACGUUGAGAAAGAGUACGGAUAUGAGAUAUCGUACGACAAGGCUUGGAGGGCAAAACAGAAAGCAUUGGAGAUGAGGUUUGGAACUUAUGAGGAUUCUUAUCACAAUCUUCCCCCACUAUUGGAGGUGAUGCAGGCAAGAAAUCCGGGCACACACAUGGCUAUUCUCGAUGAGGUGAAUGAAUAUGGGGAGAAUGUUCUUCGUCGGGCUUUCUGGUCAUUUGGAUGCAUGAUAGAGGCCUUUAGAAAUUGCAUUCCUUUGCUCUGUGUUGAUGGCACUUUCAUGACAGGCAAGUACAGAGGAACAAUUCUAACCGCGAUCGGAGUCGACGCGGAUAGCCAUGUCGUUCCUGUUGCUUUUGCAUUUGUUGAAAGCGAGAACACAUCAAGCUGGCUAUGGUUUUUGCGGCACAUUAAAAUGUGUGUUGUUGAAAAUAGACGAAAUGUGUGUGUUCUACAUGACCAACACGCCGGUUUGCUAUCAGCGAUACAGAAGCUUCAAGAAGAUGUCACACAGUCCGUGCCAUGGCCAGAUUUACAUAGCAGAUGGUGCAUGCGACAUUUUGGGGCUAAUUUUUAUAGACAAUUCAGGAGUAAGAGAUUGAUGGACCUAUUCAAGAAGUUAUGCAAGCAGAAUCAACAAAGAAAGUUUGAUGCCAUAUGGGAUCAACUGGAUCGUUUGACCACUACACACAUGGAAGUGGUUAGGAAAAAACCUAUAGUUGCCAGACAGGAGGAGCCGGAGGGACUUGAACCCAUUCCUAAUGAAGCACCAAGUAUUACUCGGCGCAGGAAGCGUGGAAGGGCCACGAAGUGCUUCACGGAGUGGGUAGAAUUUGAGCCAAGGGAGAAAUGGUCAUUGUUGUACGAUACAGAUGGAUCGAGGUAUGGUGUGAUGACAACAAAUCUUGCUGAAGUGUAUAACUGGGUUAUGAAGAAUACACGACCUCUACCACUUGUUGCUAUCCUGGAGGGCAUCACGAGGGGUACACAGAAGUAUCUCUGUAAAAGGUAUUCCAUGGCUAGUCUGAACCUUAGCAAACCCAGUGUUAAGUAUAGCCCCGCUAUUACACAGUACAUGGAUGAGAAAAGUAAGAAGGGAGGAAUCCACAGAGUGUGGCCUGCUGGGAAUAGAGAGUUGUUAUUUGAGAUACGACUUCGUGACAAGAGUGGUGUCGGCAUUGGGACUACUGACAUCACAUUGGAAUGCAUGUUGUGGCCAGAGUAUCACGCUUGCAAAUGCAAUUGCAACAAGCCUUACCUGUUACAUCGGCCAUGUUCCCAUGUUCUUGCUGUUUCCGCAAAAGGGGGUGUUGAUGGAAACAUUUUUGUUUCUCCCUACUUUAGAAAGGAAUCAUGGGAGGCAACUUAGCGUGGUGAAUUGCGUGGUUGGCGUGCCAUGUGCGAUUUCACUCGUCCUCCUCCAGGGCAAGCCAAUUGGGUUCCUGACUCAAAUUUAUUAGUUGAUACUAAGGGUCGUCGCCAGUCGCGCAGGAUCAAGAACCUUAUGGAUGAAGCUGAAGUGAAAGAUCGUUCUCGUCGUAAGAAAGCUUGUAUUCUUUGCGGGGAGAACCAUUCCCGUAAAGAUUGCAGCAUGUACAAUGUAGGGCAAGAUGCCACAGGCGCUGAUGUUCGUCGCGUUCCAAAGGGGAAGUCGAAGAAGAAAAAUAAUCCUUAGUUCGCUAUUAUCCUUGGUGGACUCCCUACUUUGAAGAUCGUUAUCGUUCAAUUUAUGUUUAGUGCGUCUGUAAUUUUAAUUUGAACUUUCUUGCACUUUUAUUACCCGAAUCUAUUUGUAAUGGCCUUGUAAUUUUCAUUUUGAACUGCACUGCACUUUUAAUAUCGUCAUGUAUUUGUAUUGGAAUUGUAAUUUAAAUUUCGAACUGCACUGCACUUGUAAUAUCAUAAUAUAUGUGUCGUGGGCUUGUAAUUUUAAAUUGAAAUGUACUGAACUAUUCUUAUCUGUAUCUAUGUGUGCUGGUACUGUAAUUUUAAAUUGAAAUGGCAUGCAAAUUUGUUACUUGAAUUAUGUUGCAUACAUUUACUGUACUGUUACCACACGUGCAUUUACUAAUGUAGUUUUCGAUCUGCAGGUAUGGCUGAUCAAUAUGAUGGGCAGCUGAUAGACAAGGAGAUCGAUAGGAACCAUCGAUCGCGACGUCUUAGUACAGGAACUUUCUGCAAUGUGCUAAAGAUGCGAGGACCGGAUCAAUAUUGGCGUAUUGAUCCUCCUCGUUGGGUUCCAAGGUGUGUGAAAAUAUAUUGUUUUUACUAAUACAAGGUGUUUAUAUUUUCAUGUAUUAAUAACUUGCGCUCUGUCAUGUUGUAGGCUGAGAGCAGCUGGGUUGUUGACGUUUGCACGGUUGGUCGAGCCUUCACGUGCAAGGUCCGAACGAAUCCACAUUGACGCGGCGCUUCUGAGUGCUCUUGUGGAUAGAUGGAGGCCUGAGACCCACACUUUCCACCUCACAGUUGGAGAGAUGGUGCCCACUCUGCAGGAUGUGUCUUAUUUGUUGGGGCUGCCGAUAGCUGGGCCAGCAGUUGGCCCAACAAUGGUGAAUGCUGGAUGGGCGGAUGACCUUCUGGCCAGUUUUGGUGGUGUGCUACCUGUUGCACUGGAGGAUCUCACAGAUGGGCACGGGCCUACGAAAAGUUGGUUGAAUCAGUUUCGAUAGGAUGUCUUCCCUGAUGACCAGGAGGAGUGGAUCGUGCAGCGGCACUUAGUCGCUUACCUGUUGUGGUUGUUUGGAUGGGUGAUGUUCACGGGAACUCACGCUGACUCCGUGGACAAGCACUUCAUCCACUUUGCGGAGCAGAUUGCAGAGUUACCUAUCGCGGAGAUUCCACAGUACAGUUGGGGGUCGGCGGUACUUGCGGCGACAUAUGCCGGACUGUGUGAUGCUUGCGUGAGGAACAGCAAGCAAAGUUCACUCCCUGGAUGCCCAUUGCUACUUAUGUUGUGGGCGCACGAGCGCUUUGACAUUGGGAGGCCUCAGCUUGACUCGUACGCAAACUACGGUUUGCAAGAGAUGUACAGGUCUGGUGUUGAUGACAUCGACGAUCGUCCCACUAUGGGAUCCUUGUGGACACACCGUGAGGUAUUUUUUGUUAAAUUCGUUUAUGUUAUCAUUAUGAAUACUAGUUCACAAACUUUCCUUAUAUGACUAAUGAAAACUACUACUUGUUACAGCCGCAGUGGGUUAGCGGGACGACACGUCGUGUCUACACUCAGUUUGUAGCUGACUUUGAUCAGCUUACGCCUGACCGUGUUCGGUGGACUCCCUACACUCAGCACGAUGUCAAUGAUCGUGCACCGCACGGUCUCGCGGAUCUUUGCACGCGAGAUAUGCAACUCUGGAUGACGACUUGUCACCUCGUGGUGGACGUGCACGUCGAGCCACACAAUGUCCACAGGGUUCUCAAACAGUUGGGCAUGUAUCAGGACUUCCCUCCGAGAGAUGGUCGUCCUUUGGCUGAUAGUCUUCAUAGGUUAGUUCACAUCACAGUUGUUUAAUCCUACAUUUUUUAAAAUAAAUCACUGCACAACAUUUUUUCUGAUGUGUGAAUUUGUUGUUGUGCAGGUACUCCAGAAAGGGGCUCGGGCUUUCCUACGAGCUAGUUAUUGUGACCACGGUUCAGCCGACGGUACAAGAGUGGGAGCACGCAGCUAAUAACUUGGCACUUCAGACACCUCCAGACGAUGGGAGUUAUUAUGGAGCUUACCUUCGUUGGUACCGCAGUGUUACACAAUGGAGGUGUUUUCCUCCACAAGGAGAUAGCACCAUCCCCCACCAGGCAGCGAUUACUGACACGUUUGCCCCUCAGCCUAGAUCAGCUUACAACUCAAUGGUACGUGUUUAUUUGUGGAAUUUGAGCAACUAGUUCAAUAUUUUUAAAAAGUUAGCAAGUAGUUCAGUAUGUCUAAUAAAUGUGCAAUUGGUUCAACUAGUUCCUUUUCUUACAUAAAUGUGGAACUAGUUCAGUAUUUAUAAAUGAUGUGCAACUGGUUCAUUAUUUCUAACAAAUGUGCAUCUUGUUAAAUACUCUCAAUAAAUGUGCAACUGGUUAAAUAAUUUUAAUUGCCUUGAUUAUUUAUGGAACAGGCGGAAUUUGUUGAGCACGUUCACGUGGAGUCCGACACCCUGCUGCAAAGACUAGAGGCGAGACCUCCAGUCGUCAGGCCUGACGACGUGGCGAGCAUCCUUCGCAACUUCCGUGCACGUGCUGCCGCACUACUACGUCGUGUCUCCUGUCGGAGCGCGGCAGAUGUGGUGCAGACAUCGGGCCGACGGCCAUCACCACCACUACCCCGACGUUCCAGCGUGGAUCGGAGUGGUCCAUCCUCUUCACGUCGCGGGUACGAAGCGGCCCACACAUCUCACGGUCGUCCUUCCUUUCAGCACACCCCAGCACCGGAGUACACCAGGGGGUCAGCCGGAUCAGGGGUACCCACGUCGAGCACGGCACCACCACGUCCGCAGGUAUUCCAAACUCCGCCUUAUGUUCACCUCUCGCAGGGAGCAUCUGGGUCGGCACACUUCCCUUACAUGCCAACGGGGGACAACGUGUUGAACACACAAGCAUGGGGACUUCAUAUCACUCCGCGUGCGCCAGAGCAAGGCCACACACAGCACACAUGUAAGUCAUUUUAAACAAUAACACGCUUUAGUUUCUAAUUAUAUGUAUCAUUACUAACUACGCCAUAUUUUUUGGUUUCUCCCUCUUGUGCAAACAGACGAUGAGUACGGUUCGGCGUCGACGCAUCACGGAAUGCCUGCUUACUCCCCUCGCACAGCAUUCAUUGAGGACUUCUUUUCCACUGAUCCUCCCCAGGGGGAAGUAGGGAUGGAUUACUGGCACGCAGCACCUCAGGUCACACAGCCGACGCAGGAGACGAAGGCCGGUCAGGGGCCAGACAUGACACCAUAGCAGGCAGCUAGAGAUAGGCACCCCCCUGAUAAUUUGACAUAUCCCACUGAGCAGAUUAGGCGUAGGAAGAAGGGAGGACCUAGCAAGCGUGCGAAGGGCACUGAUCGUCCUUGACUUAUCUAUUUGUAUUAAACUUUUAGUCAUUUAUGUUCUAUCCGUACUAUUUGAGAAACAUUUUACGAUUAACUUAGUACUAUCAGUACUAUUUCAUAAACUUCUUCGGAUAAUUACUUAGUAGCAUAUCCUUCAAAUGAAUCAUGACAAAUUAUCAUUCAAAUAUACAAAAAAUAAUGAAACUAAAUAAUUCAAAUAUUUUAACCAACAAAAAAAUACUACAAUUUCUUACCAAACAUUAUCAAAACCCUAAAUCAUAUACAUAUAACAUUACAAAAAUAUUUUCCUUUCUUACACACUAAAAUAAAUUACAUAUUAUUAAAAAAAUAACUUAUUACAAAUAAAUGGAGAACGCGACCCUGUCGAACUACGCCAGUUCGACGGAUAUCCUGUCGAACAGGGGCAGUUUGACAGCCCUCCUGUCGAACAGGGGCAGUUCGACAGCCCUGCCUGUCGAACGGGGGCUGUUCGACAGGUCCUGUCGAACGGUAGCCUUCCGAUCUCCUCGCCAGUCGCGCUCUGGCCGUUCGAUAGGCGCCCUAUCGAACUGCACCCGUUCGACAGGGACCUACUUUCGCGAUUUUCUCCGGUUGACCACUACUUUUGCGAUUUUCCAUAAAAAUAAUAUUAAUUCUCAAAAAAAUUCACGUUGGUAUAUGCAAAGGAGAUGAACAACCAACCGAGAAUUGGAGGGACAGUGAAAACGGGGCUAACUGAUGAUUAGUGAUUUAAAUUUUGAUCUUGAAUGGAGGAAACAAAACAGUACAUGGAUGGAGUGCAGGGGAUUACCAGCCAUGGCAGAGAAGAUGAAGCAACAAAGCUCCAGCAAAGGAGAAGAUGGCAUCAGUGGCUUGGGCUUCCGAAGUGGAUGGCGAGAGGGCGGCUCUGGUUCCACGACGGCAGCAGCGCCUCUGCGUGCAGGCGACGGCGACCGAACAUGAAGGAGCAACGUGGUUCACCACCGAUGAUGGCAUUUAGUUGGUGGCUGUUUGGAAACAGGACAACGAUGACGUGCUUUGUGAUAUGCAAAUGGAAUCACGAUCACGUGCACGCACAGGACGAUAAAUUGGGAAGAAAAAAAAUGAUGAAGGAGGUGGAUGUAGGGCAGGUGUUUACCGCAAAGGAGAAGUUGCAGCAGCAGCGGGUGGUUGACAGAGAAUCGUCGGCGCUGGUGGACAGCUUGAUAAAAGAUAGCACAGGAGGCGGUGGAUGGGCAAAACAACGUUGCACCAAUCCCCGGCAAUUGAGGGACCUCUCGAUGAUGUAGCAGUGUUUGAAACAAGAAGACGAUGGCAACGGCUUGACCUCCCGGCAGCCAGCAGAGAGGCGGCUUGCAGGCGUGAUGGCAGCCGUCCUCCCUCGGGCUGCGACGAUGGCACCGGCUCGAGGUACCGAGCAGCAGGACAAUGGCGUACAAGCGAAGUGGGAGAGCUUCAAUGCUGCAGCACGGUGUUGCGGAAGCAGCAGCAGCAGCAACAGCAGCACGGCAUGGCUGGGGCAGUGGUGUGGUGGUUAAACAAAGAGGAAAGGAAGAGGGGUGCUGCAGCUAUUAGAGAAAUAGUCUAGCAAUUGAGGAGGAUUCAACGUUUGGCCUUGAAGAUGAGAAACUGAAGGAGGAGAUGAAGGGAUCUGCAGGGAAUUGGAAAUUGUGGCGCUGUUUUCAUGGCGAGAAGUGGAAGAAGCGGCUGGAGCACGGUUACGGAGAGGUGAACGGACAGAAGAUGGAGAGGUGGCUGGGGAAUUGGAAAAAACAGAUCAAGCUCAAUAGGUUGAUUCAAUUUUUGUCAUUCAAGUGGAGAAAUUAAUUAGGAAGGGGAAGAGAUUGAUUAGUGGAAGAGGGAUGGGAAGAGAUGGCAGAGAUAGAAUGACAGGGAGGGAGAUAGACAGAAAGAGACAGAAAGUGAGAGAGAGAGAGAGAUUAAUACGGAGGGAUAGGGAAAGAGAUAUAUACAGAACCAAGAGUUAAAGAAAAUGAAUGUCUCAUCAUGUUUGAUUCAUUUUUUUUAAUAUUAGUGGAGGAUAUUGAUUGGGGAUUGAAAAAGGUGAAAUUAAUGGGAGAGAGAGAGAGACAGAACAUCAGAGGGAGAUAGAGAGAUGGAGAUCGUUACAAAGAAAAAAAGAGAAGAGGCAUCUGCCUAGAUUAGGGAGGAAAAAGAAAAAGGAAAAGAAAAGGAAGGAAAAGGAAAAGGAAAAUGUUUUUCUUGGACUUUGGAUUUUUUUUAAGAAUUUGGGAGAAUUCAUCAAAUUGAGCUCCACUUCCAAAACUCAAAUAAAAAUUAAAUAACUCCAAUUAACAAACGAUAAAAUAAAAGGGCAGCGUAAUUAAAUUAUUUAGUCAAAUUAAACCCUUUUUCAUUUAUGAAAUUUUCAUUAACCUAUUUUAGACGAAUAAACAUGAACGUUAAUUUUCAAAAUUGAGCAAAAUAGAAGACACGAAAAAGGGGACGUGACAAUAUAUAAAAUUCAACAAUAAAACCAAGAGUUUAACCUUUGAAUAUAUUAUUCAGAACGUUUUUUUAUCCAAUCCUCAGGUCCGACCAACCUCACAAUGGCGGCCUAACCGGCUUCCACGGGAAAGCUCUGGUUUAUUCCAAAUUUGGCCCAAACUUUCUAUGAAUUUGUCCUAGUGCCAAAUUUUUUUAUCAAACAUAGGAAAGUGGAUAUCCCUUCUAAAAGAUGUGGAAAUUUAAUAUUCCAGUAAAACUUAAAGUGUUCACUUGGUUAGCUCUUAGAAACAGUAUUCUGACUAAAGAUAUCCUCAUUAAAAGGGGAUGGAAAAAAAUAACAGUAAAUGUCAUUUUUGUAAUGAGAAAGAAACAAUUAAUCAUCUGUUUUCCCAUUGCCAUUUAGCCAGGUUUGUGUGGAAUAGUUAGAAUUGUGUCUUUGCCUAUGGUGUAGCAAAUGAGAUACGGUAAACAAAUUCAGUAAGAGGGCAAGUAGGUUCAUUUUUUAGAUAAUGGAUAUUAAACCUAGAAUUUGCUUCAAUUGGAGCUACAAGCACUUAUUACAAAGUUAUUGGCACGAAGACUAAACACGCUGGAAAUAAACAAAGGUAGAUAAAAAGCCGACUCAACAACACUAACCAAUGGAAAAUAGCAACUUAUUCAAAGUUCAAGUCUAUUGAUAAAUCUCCAUCCAAAAUAGACGAAAACAUGCAUGAAUAUUAACUCUAAAUUAUAGCAUGCAACACAUAUAUGACUUCCAUUUCCUCUUCACUCCUUUGAGGCUAGCCACAGAACCAAAGCCAAUAAGUUACUUUGAAUAAUUCCUUCAUAUAAGAUUUAGUUAGAGUCUUGUGAAAAGCCAUAUUAGUCCUACUAAGCCAUAGAACCCAACAUAAAUCAAAUGCUUCUAUCAGAAAUAUAUUUCUUAGCUUUAGAAUUCAUGGCUACCAGCCAAUCCCCAAACAUUUCAGGAAAAUUAUGUGGUAUUUGCAACCCAAUGGAAAUAAAGACGAUUCUCCAAAGAAAUUUAGCAACAUGGCAUUCAAAGAAUAGAUGAUGGAUAUUCUCUUCAUGCAAACAAAAGCAACUACUACCAUUCCAAUUCCUUUUUGCUAAAUUAUCUUUGGUUAACACUACUUUAAGCAAAUACCAUAUAAAAAUCUUUAUUUUGAUAGACAUUUUUUUAUUUCCACAGUAAUUUUUUUCUCUCCAUAUGCACAUUAAAAAUUAACACCGAGUACAUUGAUCGAAAAAAUGCACCAUUCUAAUGAAGGCUCCACCUAAAUAUGUCAUUAUCAUCAUUAAGGUGGAUAUGUACUAUUCUAGCAACUAAAUUAUUCUAGUCAAUAAGAUUCUGAUCCACCAAUGUUCUACAAAAUAAAACAUAUUCAAAGGAACAUAACCCAUCACAGUUGAAAUUGGUGCACUUAUCUGACGAUUAAUAUUACACAAAGAUAGAUACUGCUCUUUAAAAGAAGAAUUUUGAACCCAUUUACCUUUCCAGAAUGUAACUUGCUUACCAUCAUUGAUCAUAAAAGAUUCCAACCCUAAGAAUUUGUCUUUAACUUUCAUAUGACCCACCCAGAAAUGUGAGUCAGCUGGUUUUUUCACUCCUUGAGUUAUUGAGGUACUUUCUCAUAAGCUCAUUGUUGUAGGGAUUGCUACAAUACUAUGGCGAUCUGAAAAUUGCGGAAUAGAGGGCUUGUUUCUAAAAUAUUCUUCCUAGUGAUCGAAUUGAAAUUACUUUCCAAAUUACUUACCACAUCUGCAGUUGAGCCAUGUUGCAGAGCAAGGAGGCAAAGGCAAAAAAACCUUCAAGAGGAUGCCAAGCUUCUAAGAUGGGUGGGAAAUGAGAUAUAUGGUGCUCAACAUGGAUAGAACUUCAGAUCAAGGAGACUGCAAUUAAUGCUUAGAACACAAAAGAAUAGGAGAUAUUAACUAUUUGCCAUUGGACCGCCGCAUGUCAAAGAUACAUCAAGGCUCACAUGUCAUAGACUUUUGGUAGCACUACAUCUUAAAAGUGGCAAAUAGUUAAAUGUUUCGAAGAACAAAGAGGUUGAUAUCUUCUGAUGGUUUGCUAUUACUAUUAUGAUUUCCUGCUGAAUGUAACAUGGGUGUUUUUGCCAAGUAGCUGUUGAGAACAAUCUUUUUGGUAGGUUGUGUUUGUAAUGGUAGUAGUCUAGAAAAAAAAAAGACUUAACUGCUAGUCACCUCCCCUAACCAUGGUAGGAUGGCACCUAGAAAAGGGGAAUGGUAAAGUUGGUGAGUUUGUGAACAUAGGUUACAGGUAGCUUCUCAUUUGUAUUGAUCGAAAUUGUGGGAGGCUGUCUAUCCUAGUUUUUUUAAAAAAAAAUUGAUCAGGUUCCUGGUGGUAGAAUCGGCUUAACCUUUGGAGAUGUUCAUAGGGGUAGUGGAUUGUGAAUUCACAUGCACAGGUUCAAUACCCAUCGUUUGCCCAUUCCAUUAUCACAUAUUCCAAAAAAUACAUGUUUUCAUAUUCUAGUUACAUAUUUACUUUUGACAAGGAAAGCCGAGACAUGUGAAUCUUAAUAUAUGUCAUAUUCUCUAGUCUUUCAGAUGUGCUUAUAAGGGUAUACAUGUGAACAUUUAUAUGGAUGAGUACACAUGUGUUUAUGGGCUGGUUACCUGCAUCUAUAUAUACUAUAUUUGAAAAACAAUCACUACAACAAAAAUAUUAUAUAAAGACACUUUUGUAGAGGCAUUUUGCAAAUUGCCUCUAAGAUCAGGAGUUUUAUAGCGUAGAGACACUUUAUAGAGGCACUUUCAAAAUUGUCUAGAAAAUUUUUACUCUAGAGACACUUUAAAAAUAUUUUCAGCACAUUUUAUUAGAUUUUAUCUUGUAGAGACAUUCUUUCGGCACUUUAAAAUGUAUCUAACAUGUAAAGUCAUUUGCUUGAGACACUUUAAACUCUGAAGAGACACUUCUUACAAUAAAAGUAUAAUAAAUGGCUAAAUAUAAGUAACUUAAGGCAUAAACAUAUACAAUGAAUGACAUGGGGUUGAGUUGGUUAGUGCCUUGAAGAAAAGAAUGAUUUGUUCAAGAGAUCAUGAGUUCAAGGAUUGGCAAAAAUAAGAGAAAAUAUUUUAUUCUCAUUUUCACAUUGGUUUCAUAUGGUUGUGGUACAAUUUAAUGUCUCUAGAAAAUGCCUCUACCACCUUAUAGACAUUUUAUAAAAUGCCUCUUCGUUUGUAGAGACAAUUCACCAUAAGGCACUUAUUAGACAUUUUUUAAAAUGCCUCUAUAGUAUUGUAAAGGCAUUUGAAAAGUGUCUCUAUAGUACUAGAAAAAUGUCUCUACAAAGCAUUUUUCUUGUAGUGAAUGCAUCUAUAUAUAUAUACUAUGUUUGAAACAAUGAUUUAAUAGCACACAAUCAUUAAUUAGCCUACAUAUAGUUUUUCAUGAUCCGAUUAUUAGUUAUCCAGUUUAUUCGGUUUUGACUAUUUACUAUAUGCGCAGUUCUCCGGUACUCCUACGUCGUGAGGCGGCAACGAACUGAAAGAGCUUUCCGAAUACAGUACUACCACACGUACGUGUGUUCUUGGUUGGUUUGCUUGCAUCUCGUGAUGGGAAUGGUUAGGGUUGAUACAUUUAUUCACUAAACAUAUCCGUAAAUUUAUCCUAACGAAUUUGUAACGAAUUUAUAGGGUCGCUCCAAAAAUAUAAAUGGAUCAAACGGAUCAAACCAUUAGAACCUAAGUUAAAGGGGUUCGACCUAAAAUGACUUCACAUAUAUAAAUGUUUCAAAAAUUUGUACAAAGUUGCUUCGCUAUAUAAUAAUUCAUUCCUACAAAAUUUAACUAAAUUUAAUAAGUUUUCAAAGUGUGAACGUGAAUUUAAAAAUUUUGGGUCCGAGUUUUACAUGUAACUAGAAUUUUUGGGUCUUAGCAACACAUCGUGGGCCCUACAUGUAUAAAGGGCUCAAAAUUUACACAAAGUUGCUUCUCUGUGCAAUAAAUUAUCCCACCAAAAUUCGACUAAAUUCGAUAAGUUUUUAUAGUGUGAACGUGAGUUUAAAAAUUUUGGAUCCGAGUUUUACACACAUAUAACUAGAAUUUUUGGGUCCUAGUAAUACAUCGUGGGCCCCACUUGUAUAAAGGGCUCAAAAUUUAUACAAAGUUGCUUCUCUGUGCAAUAAAUUAUCCCACCAAAAUUGAACUAAAUUUGAUAAGUUUUUAUAGUGUGAACGUGAGUUUAAAAAUUUUGGGUCCGAGUUUUACACACAUGUAAUAAGAGUAGCCGAUUCAUUUGGAUAUCCACGAAUAACCUAUUAAUAUAAUAGACUCAUGGUGGAUUGACCCUAUUAAAUCAUGGAUCAAUGAACUCACUUAAAACGGUUUAUGUGUAAUCCAUAUCCUAACCAUUCCCAUCCUGACUUGCAUCGGUACAUGCGCGCAAACGAUACGCAUUGAUCUGCUUCGUCCUGUGUGCACGCGCGCGCCACGUGCGCGCGCAGGGAACUCGCCAGCCACGAGGGCGCGCGCUCGGCCCGCGCUGGUGCGGCCGGCGUCGUCGUCGGCCGUCGUGUCCCGCGCGAGAGGUCGCGUGGGUGGCGUGCGUCGCGCGCAUGCAUGGUGUCGACGGCCGAGGGCGUGGUCCGCGAGAAAAUCUCCCGGUUUCCUGGAGAUUCGAGCCCCGUGCGCGCCACUUCCGUUCACGCCCCGCGCCGCCGAAUCCGCCGACGGAUCUCGCGCUGGCGUGGCCAUGCGUAACAAGAUUCCGCCGCGCGCGGGGGCCAGCGCGACCAUGCAUGGCCGCCGUGUGGCUACAAAAACCGCAGCUAUCGCUCAGCUCGCCAUUGCAUCCGCUCCGCGCGUUUCCGUUAGACUAGGCCUUUCAUCGAGCAGCUUGUGCGCGCCGGCUUCCGAUCUCCGCCGCCCGGCUGGCCGCCCUCUUCUAGGUGAGACCCCUUGCACCACAAGCCUCCUCUCGACCCGUACAACCUAUCGAAGUAUCGAUCCCCGCGCUCCAUUGAUCAUAUUAGAUUCCAUACCCGCUGGAGCCGGAGCUGAGCUCCCUUGCUCCGCCUUGGAGGCCGGCCUGUGUCGCACGACACUGACGCUGUUCCGUGGACGCCGGAGAGCUCCGGCGCCCACCUCUAGCGGCCGUCGCCGAGCCUUGGCAGGCCGCAACUCGCGCACUGGCUUGAGCUUGAAGACGACCCGGUGAGAGAAUUGUAGCCUGCUUCAUUGUCAGGACCAAAUCAUGGUCAGAAAAGCACCAAAAACAUUAAGAAACUUGCUCUACAUUUUCAUUUAGGAAUUUUAGCAUGCGGUCGUGACUCAUGUUUUCAAAAUGAGUGCUCCUACACGUACUUCAAUUACGUUUUCUUUUACAAAACUCUUACAAACAAUAGUCUCUCGACCGUUUAAUAGCUAUAGGAAAUCUAGGUGUACUUGUAGUAACGUAACAACGUAACACAUAAUAGUAUAUUAGUAAAAGUUUAGUCCGAAAAAAAUUUAGUACGUAUAGACUUUUUCUUUUUAAAUUUCGUUGUAAGUUCAAAUGCAGCUUGUUUUUUUUUAAGGAAAUUCAAAUGCACCUUAUCUCUUUUUUUUUCUUUAAGUGAGACAUCCAGGAAUUUGUUUUGAGAAAUUUCCAUGAUUUACUUUUAUUUCCUGUAACAUUUUCAACACCUCUGUUCUUUUUACUCCAGCAUUUUUUGUUUUCAUCCAUUCUAGAGGAAGGCCUUAACCCUUUCUUCCAUUCCCUAAUUCGUAUUCCAACAGGUGCAGUUGCUUGCUGAACACCAAACACGUGAGAAAAUUGUUCAGGACCCCAUACAUAGUGUAUCAUCCCCAAACAAUCUCAACCGAUCCACUGUUUGGCUUUAUAUAUUUAUUUUAAUAUAGCACAGUAGUAGAGGCUCUGCUGCUAUUUCUGUAAAAAAAAAGUUAUGUACAAAUAAAAUUAGAUACGAAUUGGCAAGGACAAUAUACCUCAACCGAAGAAUUAAUUACUUUGAUUUAGAAUGAACGACUAGCACAGAUACAGUUUUUUUUUGUUCCAAACUUUGCCAUUCGUUUCCAUCCAAGUUAUUCAUCACUUAACCAACGGUUGCAUAUUGCUUGGCCCUAGUUCUUGACUAACUAAUGGGCAAUUAAUUUAUGGAAUUGGUUCUUUGCUCUCCUGAAACGCGUACGAAAUAAUCUCCACGGUAAAAUAGAGAAAAAUAUAGCACGCACCAUCCCUUGCUGAUUUUUUUUUAAACUUUCUUAAUUUUUAAUUUUAAAAAUAAACCUUUGCAAAACUUAUUUUUAAGAUUUGCACCUUUUUGACACAUCAGACCAACUAGCACAGCAAAACAACAAUGACACACCACGCCAAUCUAAAUAGUGUGACAACGUUUGGUCACGCGUGCUAGGAUAAAACUAUCUGCCAAAUACGGGUGGCAUGACCGUGUUAUUUUUGCCACGUCAAGUGGGCUGACAUAGUCAAAAGAUUCAAAGUUUCAAAAUAAAUUUUAGAAGGCUUUAAUUUUAAAAUAAAAAAACUAAAAGUUCAAAAAUUAAUUAAAAUUCUCCCUUGCUUCGUAUAUAUGUGUUUACUGAAGAACGAGAAGCAAGCAACUAGGAAAAGAAACUACUCCCCUGAGUGAUGAAUGGCUUGGAUUGAACAAACAGCAAAGUUUGCCGAGUGCGUCAAAGGCAAGCAUUCUGUCUAUAAAAGGAAGAAAUCUCCUGUGAGUUCUUGUACUCCAUAUAACACGUUAUCAUGUUCUUUGGGCAGAUAACAACAUAUAUAUAUAUAUAUAUAUAUAUAUAUAUAUAUAUAUAUAUAUAGGAUUCAAUUUCUACCCAAGCAUUUAAAAAGCCAUGAAGAUUGAUCGCGAUUUCCACAUGAUGAAAGGGGAUGACAAGUUCAGCUAUGCCAAGAAUUCUAGGAUACAAGUUUGUACCAACCCUAACUUUCUUCUAUUUGUGUCCUUAUUAGUUUUUGUUUCAUUAGUCAUUACAAACUACACAUAUAUAUGUUGUUCUGUGAAAAAUUGUUAAGCAAUUUAUCUCCAACGCUGUAGGUUGUACUCACUAGUGAUAUAUAAAGAGAACAUAUAGGAUAACUGCUAAUAAACAUUUGUUUGUACAUAUGUAGUACAUAUUGAGUUAAUUAACUAGAGUCAUGUGCCAAAUCGGCAAGAACACCACACUUUUUUUCUCACUUUCAAUUACCUUGGAUAGUGGUGGCAAUCGGUCAAACUUUUAAAGACUACAAAGUUUGAGUUGUGCAAAAAAAUGGUGGACUGAAUUUUUGUAGAUUUUUUUUAUUUAAGAAUAUAUGUCGGCUAAGUUGGAUUGUGAAAGGAUCGGUAGAUUGUGAUCUGUUACUACCCCUUACCAUGGACCUGCAUUAGAGUUGGAAAGUCCAAGUGUAUUAUUUGUUUGAGCAUAAUUUUGAUUUUACUUUUUGCUCCAUAUCUUUCUAGAGAAGAGCUAUUCUUGCUACUAGGCCAAUGGUCGAGAAAGCCGUAAGGGAAAUGUGCAUAGAUCUUCAUCCUCAAUCAAUGGUCAUCGUUGAUCUAGGUUGCUCUUUCGGUGGAAAUACACUCCUCUUUGUUUCCAAGGUGAUCACCACAAUAUGUGAAAACCGUAAUAGCGCUCUCGAGGAGAGCACCAUGGAGGUCCAGUUCCUCCUCAAUGACCUACCUGGCAACGACUUCAACCAAAUCUUCCAAUCACUAG
rnacentral:lncRNA from 1 species